rnacentral:lncRNA from 1 species
AGGUUUCAUUCUUAUGCAGGAUCGUUAUGUGAUUGCCUAUGCAUCCCGACAGUUGCAUCCACAUGAGGAUAAUUAUCCUACACAUGAUUUAGAGCUUGCAGCCGUAGUCUAUGCACUUAAGACAUGGCGACAUUACCUUCUCGGUAAACGUUGCGAGAUUUACACCGAUCACCAGAGUCUCAAGUAUAUCUUCACCCAACCAGAUUUGAACCUUAGGCAAAGACGUUGGUUGGAGUUGAUCUCAGAUUAUGACUUAGGGGUUACCUACACCCCAGGCAAGGGCAAUGUCAUGGCUGAUGCGCUAAGUCGUAAGUCCUAUUGCAACAAUCUCAUGUUACAGCAGGGCCAACCACUUCUCCAUGAGGAAUUUAGUAAGCUUAAUCUUCAUGUUGCUCCUCAAGGAUUCCUUUCUACCUUGGUGGCGAAGCCUACUCUUGUGGAUCAGAUCAUCUCUGCUCAAAAGCACGAUACGGGAAUUUCUCGGAUCAAGAGAAACAUUAACAAGGGAGUUGGUGGUAGUUUCACUAUGGAUGACCGAGGUGUUGUUUUCUUUGAGAAUCGCUUAGUGGUUCCCAAGAAUCAACAUCUUCGGCAACUGAUCCUUAAGGAGGCCCAUGAAUCUCCUCUCACGAUUCAUCCCGGUAGUACUAAGAUGUAUCAGGACCUACGCCAGAGGUUUUGGUGGACUAGGAUGAAGAGAGAAAUUGCUCAGUUCAUUGCUAACUGUGACGUUUGUCGUCGUGUUAAGGCAGAACAUCAAAGACCUGCUGGCACCAUUCAGCCUUUAGCUAUUCCUGAGUGGAAAUGGGAUAAGGUUGGUAUGGACUUCAUCACCGGCUUUCCCAGGACCAAGAAAGGGAAUAAUGCUAUCUUCAUAGUCAUUGAUCGUCUUUCCAAAGUGGCUCACUUCCUACCUGUUCGAGAGAGUAUCACUGCUAGUCAGCUCGCUGACUUAUAUAUCUCUCGAAUAGUUUCACUUCAUGGUGUUCCACUAGAGAUCAAUUCAGACCGUGGUAGUCUCUUCACUUCUCAUUUCUAGGAGAGUUUCCAAACUGCCAUGGGCACCCAUCUUUCCUUCAGUACCGCUUUCCACCCUCAGUCAGGUGGUCAGGUGGAACGGGUCAACCAAAUUCUCGAAGACAUGCUUAGAGCUUGCGUUAUCUCAUUCGGUAUGGAUUGGGAGAAGUGUCUUCCUUUCGCCGAGUUUGCUUAUAACAAUAGCAAUCAAUCCAGUCUCAAGAAAGCUCCUUUCGAGAUUCUGUAUGGAUGAAGAUGUCGAACACCUUUGAACUGGUCAGAAACCGGUGAAAGACAAUUCUUUGGACCAGAUAUGAUCCAGGAGGCAGAAGAGCAAGUUCGCAUCAUUCGUGAGAAUUUGAAAACAGCCCAAUCUCGUCAAAAGAGCCAGUAUGACCGUUGUCAUAAGGAAAUGACUUAUGAGGUUGGCGACAAGGCUUACCUUCGGGUUACUCCUUUAAAGGGUACCCAUCAAUUCGGUAUCAAGGGCAAGUUGGCUCCUCGUUAUAUUGGUCCCUUUCUCAUUCUCGCUAAACGAGGAGAGGUUGCCUACCAGUUGGAACUACCCCCACAUCUUUCUCGCGUACAUGAUGUCUUCCACGUCUCUCAACUCAGGCAUUGUUUCUCGGAUCCCAUCCGUGAAGUGGACCACGAAACGCUUGAUCUCCAAGAUAACCUCACGUAUCAAGAGUACCCUAUUCGUAUUCUUGAUCAAGCAGAGCGUGUCACUCGAUGUCAGAACAUCAAGUUUCUCAAGAUUCAGUGGUCUCAUCAUUCCGAUAGAGAAGCUACUUGGGAGCGAGAAGAUCGUCUUCGACUGGAGUACCCCACCUUCUUUCCAUCGACCCCUGAAUCUCGGGACGAGAUUCUUUCAAGUGGGGGUGAGUUGUAACCUCCCUAGUUCUGGUAUGACCUAGACUAGGUAGUCAUGUGAGCAUCAUGUUUAAAUUUAAUUCAUAUCUGAAAUGGGGAUUUGUGAAACCCUCGGAAAUCAUUUCUGGAAUUAACCCAGAUAAAAAUUGCUCCAAAAAGGUCCAAGAAAAUGUUCAUGAUGCUCUCUGAAAAUAUUGGUCACAGGUAAAAUUCAAACCAAUAUUUUUGUGAGCUCAUAAAUAUUUAUUUUGGCCGUUUGGAAUCAAUGCAUAAUUACUUGCAUUGGAUAUAUAUAAAUGAAAUAUUUAUUUAUAUAAGUCCAAUAAAUUCUGAUUUUUAUGUGAGGGGCUCUGGAAUAUUUCAACUAGCUCCUACAAUAAAUUUCAGAAGAAAAUAAAUUGAUUUAGUAUUUUACUAAAUCAGAAAACAAAUUACAGAAAUAGAAAAGAAAAACAAAAAAAGGAAAAACCUUACCUGGGCUAACCUGCGGCCUGGCACUGUGCCGGCCCAGCUGUGCUGGCCCGGCCCACUGCCCACCGCACCGUCCUAAACCUCGCGCCAGUAGGCGAGGCGUGUAUCCGGCGCGCGCGCGCGCUCCGCGAGCCACGCCACCUGCCUGCCUGUCCUCCCCCUCGUCACCUGGAUGCCCCGCGCGACGCCACGCGCCGCCCCGCACCUCUCUCUCUCUCUCUCCCGUGGCCUCCCCUCCUCUCCCUCGCUCUCUCUCACCGUGCCCGAGCGCUGCCGUCGCCGCCGCACGACAUUGCCGCGCGCACCGCCACGGCCUCACCUCCACGACAAGUCCAACAGCUCUGCGCCGUCUUCCUCGUCCUCGACGCCAAGCCACGUGCCUCAGGAGGCCCUGGAGCGCCGCCAUGACCAUCGUCUUCGUCUCCGGCCACCCGAGAUCGCCGUCGCCGUUCCGCUCGCGUUCGACCCUCCCAGAGCUCGCUGACGAUGUCUACGGUCUCCCCGUGAGCUCUACUUCAUUUCCCCUCCUCCCUGUGCUUGUUUUCCCCGCCUAGCUAGCUCAGCUGCCGUGCCCGAGACCUCCUCGCCACCGGCCAUGGCGCCAGGGUGGCCAGAGCCCGAGCCAGCCGCUCCCGCGCGCGUCACCGUGCUCCUGGUGAUGCCAGGAGGCCGUAGAGGCCCCCCGCAGCCCCUGUCGUGCACCGCAGCGCUGUGCCCGCACGCCACCGAACUCUGGCCGCCGCCCCGAGCUCCGCUCCGGCGAGCUCCGGCACCCCCGCAGCCUCCCGUUAGCUCCAAACGACGCGGACGAGCUCCAGCUCCUCGUUUGUGGUCUCCGCCGCCUAAAUGGUCGCCAGAGGGCGAUUCCCGUGCCCCUCCGCCGCGUUCGGCCUCGCCGGCGGCUAACCGCCGGUGGGUUGACUGGGUUUGAGCCCCCAGUUGACCAAAUUUGACGACCCACGGUCAAUGACAUGUGGGGCCCGGCCCUGCUAAUUUUUAGUUUAGGAUUAGUUUAACAACUAAUUAACUCUGUUAAGUAACUAUGACAUGGACGUAUGGACCCCACACGUCAGAUUUGACCUGGACAGCCACGUUGACUCGCUGACGUAGUGAUGACGUCAUGCUGACGCAGUUAUUCAUUUCCUGGAUUUUAUUUAGUCAGGAAAUUCCAGAAAAUGAUAUAAACUUCAAAAAUUCAUAGAAAUUCAACCGUAGCUCAGAUUGAAAUAAUUUAUAUAUGAAAAAUGAUCAGAAAAAUUCAAUCUAUCCAUCUGUGCCAUUUUCAUGCAUGACAAACCAACCUAUACAUACUGUAUUUAUGAAAACACACUUAUGGCAUUUAAAGGGACUUAAAUUAGAGUUGCAUUUGAACCUUUGGUUCAAAUGGACCUCUUCCAAGUUAAAUGCUAAAUGCAUUAGCUCAAAACACAUCACAUAUUCAUGCCAUAUUCAUGCAUCAUAUUGUUGCAUAUGCUUGUGUUUGAUUGUCGACACCGUUCCUUCUCGAUAGGUUCUGCUCCGGAGAGUGCUCCAGAGUACCUGUCUGUGGAGCAGUGCCCCCCUGUUGAUCUACCAGGUAAGCAAACCCCCUUGUUCAUUUCGAUACAAUCCCACUCUCUCGCUCCUGCUCUCGUUUAUUGCAUUAGAACAACAACGAUUCAACUGCUACUUUAUGCUGCGGUAGUUGAACCCAUUCCUCGGCAUGACCUGUCAUUGCCCCAGUAAAUAGUUAAAACCCACUAGCAUGUGUAGGAGUUGAUUGAGCCAUGUUGUGUUCCUACCAUGCCAUGCCUGCUAUUGCCUAGAGUUGUGUCAGGUCUAAUUCAUCGGGAAUGCAUUGGAGUGUUACGAUAUGUUCUGGUACUGAGAGUUAAGCGUGUGAACACGAUUUGGUAAAGGUAGCGGUGAGGGGCCAUGUAGGAGUACAUGGUGGGUUGUCUCACUGGAACCGUCCUUAAGCACUGAGUUCUGUGUAUGUUGUCCAAUGACUAGUUACUACCACACAUUGGGCUCCGGGCGCUCCAAGCUCUCUCGACUUAUUAACCAACUUGAUCUAUGUCCAGGAGUUGCAAAUAGUUUCUAGUGUUUGUAGGUAGUGGUAGUAGUCUACCAAGUGGCACCCGGCCAGGUGGGCUUGGGACAGACUAGGCACAGUGGCACGGUGUACCAAGUGGCACCCGGAUGGUGGGCUUGGGAACCCUGCUCACAUCGUUUGGGGUCGUGAGCGACACCCCGGCCGGAUCUCCUUGCAGAUGGAACCCGAAUAGGCGAUAAACCUGGAUGAGAGAAUUGUGUGGUUAGUCAGGUCGUGGCCGACACCCUCGCUGGGCUUCCGCUUGAAGGUUGCCGAGUACACGUCGUGUAAACGGCGAUAAGUGGUGAGAGCGUGUGUGAAGAAGUACACCCUUGCAGGGUUUUCAUGAUCUAUUCGAAUAGCCGGGUCCGCGGUUAUGGACUUCUUGGAUGCUUACGUGGUACAUAGACAACUUGAAGUGGAUACUCUAAAAUGCUCAAGAUAAGUGUGAGUGCUAUGGAUGGCUUCUCGUAGUGAGACGGGAAUGAAUCCAUAGUGGUGUAUUGAGGUGGUGAUUAGUGGACUCAUGUGCGCUUUCUUACCUCAAAGAAGUUACUCGUAGUCGUAGAAUAGGUUAGCCACUGAGUCAAAGCUGGCUUGCUGCAACUGAACCCCACAUUGCCUCCUUGAUACUAUUGCAUGUAUGAUAGGAUCUCAUGUACGUCUUGCUGAGUACCUUUGUACUCACGUUGCUUAAUUUAUGUUUUUGCAUAUGAGACUUCUCUCUCAGUAGUAGUUCUGCAUGGACUUCGACGACUAGCUUGUUACCUCAGCUACAGUCUUGUACCCUUGGGAGGGUCUUGUAGAUAGUCAGGCUUCUCAGCUUUUUCUUUUGUAGUUGUCUGUACUCAGACAUGUAAUGCUUCUGUUGCUUGUAUGCUCUGAAUGAUGGGUCAUGUGACCCCUGCUUGUAAUACUGCUAUGUGGCUCUUCUGGGCCUUUAUCUAUAUGAGUUUGCGUUAUGUUGUGAUGCCAUGUUGUACAACACAUACUUGCAUGUUAUGCGUACGUGUAACGUGUAUUGCUAUGUGUGGGAUCCGACAACCUAGUUGUCUAUCCUUGGUAGCCUCUCUUAUGGGGAAAUGUAGUCUAGUGCUUCCACCGAGCCAUGGUAGUCCGCUACAGCCCGGUUUACCGGAGUCCUGCUAGCCCAACACUACUGCUUCGGAACACUUAGACUUGCCGGCAUGUGAUUCACUUCGUUCCUGUGUCUGUCCCUUCGGGGAAAUGUCACGCGGUGACAUCCGGAGUCCUGCCUAGCCUGCUACAACUCGGGUUCCCGGAGUCCUGUUAGCCCAGUUGCUACAGCCCGGAUUCACACGCUACUGACCGGCAUGCUCGAUGUUGUUUCAUGUAUGUGUGUCCCCAUAAGUUAGUGCCAGUUUGGGUUCAUGACUAGUCAUGUCGGCCCGGGUUCUCUGUCAUAUGGAUGCUAGCGACACUAUCAUAUACGUGAGCCAAAAGGCGCAAACGGUCCCGGGCCAUGGUAAGGCGACACCCGUGGGAAUACCGUGCAUGAGGCCGCAAAGUGAUAUGAGGUGUUACAUGCUAGAUCCGUGUGACUUAGAAUCGGGGUCCCGGCAACAGGCUUCACCGCAAGUCUGUAUAAAACUAUAUGCUUUGAUCAACUUAUCAAAGUGUAUGUUCCAACUCCGAGAUGCUUGCACCAGUCCAGAGAUGGAUCGCUGGAGCUUGCACAUUUUGUUAGCACCUUUAGGACUGACAAAACCUUCUGGUUGCAUCAUAUACAACUCUUCUUUAAAGAACCCAUUGAGGAAUGCAGUUUUGACAUCCAUUUGCCAGAUUUCAUAAAAUGUGGCGAUUGCUAACUUGAUUCGGACAGACUUAAGCAUCGAUACGAGUGAGAAAAUCUCAUUGUUGUCAACACCUUGAACUUUGUCAAAAACCUUUUGCGACAAUUCGAACUUUGUAGAUAGUAACACUACCAUCAGUGUCCGUCUUCCUCUUGAAGAUCCAUUUAUUCUCAAUGGCUUGCCGAUCAUCGGGCAAGUCUACCAAAAUCCAUACUUUGUUCUCAUACAUGAAUCCCUUCUCAGAUUUCAUGGCCUCAAGCCAUUUUGUGGAAUCUGGGCUCAUCAUCGCUUCUUCAUAGUUCGUAUGAUCGUCAUGGUCUAGUAACAUGACUUCCAGAACCGGAUUAUCGUACCACUCUGGUGCGGACCGUACUCUGGUUGACCUACAAGGUUCGGUAGUAACUUCAUCUGAAGUAUCAUGAUCAUCACCAUUAGCUUCCUCACUAAUUGGUGUAGGAAUCACUUGAACUGAUUUAUGUGAUGAACUACUUUCCAAUUCGGGAGAAGGUACAGUUACCUCAUCAAGUUCUACUUUCCUCCCACUCACUUCUUUCGAGAGAAACUCCUUCUCUAGAAAGGAUCCAUUCUUUAGCAACAAAUGUCUUGCCUUUGGAUCUGUGAUCGAAGGUGUACCCAACAGUUUCUUUUGGGUAUCCAAUGAAGAUGCACUUCUCUGAUUUAGGUUCGAGCUUAUCAAGUUGAAGCUUUUUCACAUAAGCAUCGCAGCCCCAAACUUUAAGAAAUGACGGCUUAGGUUUCUUGCUAAACCACAGUUCAUACGGUGUCAUCUCAACGGAUUUUUAGACGGUGCCCUAUUUAACGUGAAUGCAGUUGUCUCUAAUGCAUACCCCCAAAACGAUAGUGGUUAAUCGGUAAGAGACAUCAUAAAUCGCACCAUAUCUAAUAAAGUACAGUUAGGACGUUCGGACACACCAUUAGGCUAUGGUGUUCCAGGUGGCAUGAGUUUGUGAAACUAUUCCACAUUGUUUUAAUUGAAGGCCAAACUCGUAACUCAAAUAUUCACUUCCACGAUUAGAUCGUAGAAACUUUAUUUUCUUGUUACGAUGAUUUUCCACUUCACUCUGAAAUUCUUUGAACUUUUCAAAUGUUUCAGACUUAUGUUUCAUCAAGUAGAUAUAUCCAUAUCUGCUCAAAUCAUCUACGAAGGUCAGAAAAUAACGAUACCUGCCGCGAGCCUCAACACACAUCGGACCGCAUACAUCAGUAUGUAUUAUUUCCAACAAGUCUAUUGCUCGCUCCAUUGUUCCGGAGAACGGAUUCUUAGUCAUCUUGCCCAUGAGGCAUGGUUCGCAAGCAUCAAGUGAUUCCAAAAGCCCAUCAACAUGGAGUUUCUUCAUGCGCUUUACACCAAUAUGAUCUAAACGGCAGUGCCACAAAUAAGUUGCACUAUCAUUAUUAAACUUAUAUCUUUUAGCAUCAAUAUUAUGUGUAUCACUGUGAUCGAGAUUCAGUAAACCAUUUACAUUGGAUGUAAGACCAUAGAAGGUUUUAUUCAUGUAAACAGAACAACAAUUAUUCUCUGACUUAAAUGAAUAACCAUAUCGCAAUAAACAUGAUCCAAUCAUAUUUAUGCUCAACGCAAACACCAAAUAACAUUUAUUUAGUUACAAUACUAAUCCUGAAGGAAAAAGGGAGUGUGCGAUGGUGAUCUUUAUCAAUAUUGGAAUCACUUCCAACACACAUCAUUACCUCGCCCUUAACUAGUCUCUAUUUAUUUUGCAACUCCAGUUUCGAGUUACUAGUCUUAGCAACUGAACCAGUAUCAAAUACCGAGGGGUUGCUAUAAACACUAGUAAAGUACACAUCAAUAACAUGUAUAUCAAAUAUACCUUUGUUCACUUUGCCAUCCUUCUUAUCCGCCAAGUAUCUAGGGCAGUUCUGCUUCCAAUGACCAUUUCCUUUGCAGUAGAAGCACUCAGUUUCAGGCUUAGGUCCAGACUUGGGCUUCUUCACUUGAGCGGCAACUUGCUUGCCGUUCUUCUUGAAGUUCGCCUUCUUCCUUUUGUCCUUUUCCUUGAAACUAGUGGUCUCGUUAAACAUCAACACUUGACACUCUUUCUUGAUUUCUACCUUCGCCGGUUUUAACAUCACGAAGAGCUCGGGGAUUGUGUUCGUCAUCCCUUGCAUAUUAUAGUUCAUCACGAAGUUCCAGUAACUUGGUGAUAGUGUCUAGAGAACUCUGUCAAUCACUCUCUUAUCUGGAAGAUUAACUCCCACUUGAUUCAGGCGAUUGUAGUACUCAGACAUUCUGAGCACAUGCUCACUGGUUGAGCUAUUCUCCUCCAUCUUGUAGGCAAAAUAGAAGUCUCAUACCUCUCGACACGGGCAUGAGACUGAAAUACCAAUUUCAUCUCUUGGAACAUCUCAUAUGCUCCGUGGCGUUCAAAACGUUUUUGAAGUCCCGGUUUUAAGCCGUAAAGCAUGGUGCACUAAACUAUCAAGUAGUCAUCAUACCGAGCUUUGUCAAACGUUCAUAACGUCUGCAUCUGCUCCUGCAAUAGGUCCGUCACCUAGCGGUGCAUCAAGGACAUAAUUUUUCUGUGCAGCAAUGAGGAAAAUCCUCAGAUCAGGGACCAAGUGCACAUCAUUGCUACUAUCAUCUUUCAACUUAUAUUUCUCUAGGAACAUAUAAAAAUAAACGGGGAGCUACAUCGUGAGCUAUUGAUCUACAACAUAGAUAUGCUAAUACUACCAGGACUAAGUUCAUGAUAAAUUAAAGUUCAAUUAAUCAUAUUACUUAAGAACUCCCACUUAGAUAGACAUCCCUCCAGUCAUCUAAAUGAUCACGUGAUCCAAAUCAACUAAACCAUGUCCGAUCAUCACGUGAGAUGGAGUAGCUUUCAAUGGUGAACAUCACUAUGUUGAUCAUAUCUACUAUAUGAUCCACGCUCGUUCUUUCGGUCUCAGUGUUCCGAGGCCAUAUCUGCAUAUGCUAGGCUCGUCAAGUUUAACCCGAGUAUUCUGCGUGUGCAAAACUGGCUUGCACCCGUUGUAUGUGAACGUAGAGCUUAUCACACCUGAUCAUCACGUGGUGUCUCGGCACGACGAACUGUCACAACGGUGCAUACUCAGGGAGAACACUUGUACCUUGAAAUUUAGUGAGGGGUCAUCUUAUAAUGCUACUGCCGUACUAAGAAAAAUAAGAUGCAUAAAGGGUAAAUAUCACAUGCAAUCAAAAUAAGUGAUAUGAUAUGGCCACCAUCAUCUUGUGCCUUUGAUCUCCAUCUCCAAAGCACCGUCAAGAUCACCAUCGUCACCGGCUUGACACCCUGAUCUCCAUCGAAGCAUCGUUUUCGUCUCGCCAACUAUUGCUUCUACGACUAUCGCUACCGCUUAGUGAUAAAGUAAAGCAAUUACAUGGCGAUUGCAUUUCAUACAAUAAAGCGACAACCAUAAGGCUCCUACCAGUUGCCGAUAACUUUUACAAAACAUGAUCAUCUCAUACAACAGUUUAUAUAUCAUCACGUCUUGACCAUAUCACAUCACAGCAAGCCUUGCAAAAACAAGUUAGACGUCCUCUACUUUGUUGUUGCAAGUUUUACGUGGCUGCUACGGGCUUAGCAAGAACCGUUCUUACCUACGCAUCAAAACCACAACGAUUUUUCGUCAAGUGUGCUAUUUUAACCUUCAACAAGGACCCGGCGUAGCCACACUCGAUUCAACUAAAGAUGGAGAAACAGACACCCACUAGCACCUGUGUGCGAAGCACGUCGGUAGAACCAGUCUCAUGAACGCAGUCAUGUAAUGUCGGUCUAGGCCGCUUCAUCCAACAAUACCGCAGAAUCAAAGUAUGACAUGCUGGUAAGCAGUAUGACUAUUAUCGCCCACAACUCUUUGUGUUCUACUCGUGCAUAUAACAUCUACGCAUAGACCUGGCUCAGAUGCCACUGUUGGGGAACGCAUAGAUCUAGGAGAAGCAUAGCAACGAGCGGGGAGAGUGUGUCCACGUACCCUCAUAGACCGAAAGCGGAAGCGUUAUAUCAGCGCGGUUGAUGUAGUCGUACGUCUUCACGAUCCGAUCGAUCCUAGCACCGAACGUACGGCACCUCCAUGUUCAGCACACGUUCAGCUCGAUGACGUCCCUCGUACUCUUGAUCCAGUUGAGGCUGAGGGAGAGUUCCGUCAGCACGACGGCGUGGCGACGGUGAUGAUGAAGUUACCGGCGCAGGGCUUCGCCUAAGCACUACGACGAUAUGACCGAGGUGUGUAACUGUGGAGGGGGUCACCGCACACAGCUAAGAGAUUGUCUAUUUUCCUUUGGGAUGCCCCCUUGGCCACGUAUAUAAAGGAGGGAGGCGGAGGAGGCCGGCCUAGGAGGGGAGAGAGGGAAGGAGUAGGAGAGGGAGAAGGAAAGAGAGGGGGGCGCCGCCCCCUCCCUAAUCCAAUUCGGACUUGCCAUGGGGCGCGCGACCACCCCUUGAGGCCCUUCUCUCCUUUCCCGUAUGGCCCAUUAAGGCCCACUAUUUCCCCCAGCGAAUUCCCGUAACUCUCCGGUACUCCGAAAAAUACUCGAAUCACUCGGAACCUUUCCGAUGUCCGAAUAUAGCCUUCCAAUAUAUCGAUCUUUACCUCUCGACCAUUUCAAGACUCCUCGUCAUGUCCGUGAUCUCAUCUGGGACUCCGAACAAACUUCGGUCAUCAAAUCACAUAACUCAUAAUACAAAUCGUCAUCGAACGUUAAGCGUGCGGAUCCUACGGGUUCGAGAACUAUGUAGACAUGACCGAGACACAUCUCCGGUCAAUAACCGAUAGCAGAACCUGGAUGCUCAUAUUGGCUCCUACAUAUUCUACGAAGAUCUUUAUCGGUCAAACCGCAUAACAGCAUACGUUGUUCCCUUUGUCAGGCACGUCCUCACCGUCAGCCUCGACACCGCCCGCGUCGCUCUCCUCCUCCGGCUUCGCCGCCAUCUGCUACUGUUGCUACUUGUCGCUGCUCAUACACAACCCAUACACCAGCCAGAUACGAGUUGGACAUAGUCUAUACAUUAGACAGACACAAGCCAGACAAUUGCCAUAUAUUACCCAGAUAAUGGUCAUGCAUGACAUGGCCUCCGCUCUUUUCCGCCCGCACAGGCUCGCGACCGCGCGUCCGUCCGGCUCCAAGCAGCCUCCUGCCUGCGGCCCGCGUCCGCACCGCUNNNNNNNNNNNNNNNNNNNNNNNNNNNNNNNNNNNNNNNNNNNNNNNNNNNNNNNNNNNNNNNNNNNNNNNNNNNNNNNNNNNNNNNNNNNNNNNNNNNNNNNNNNNNNNNNNNNNNNNNNNNNNNNNNNNNNNNNNNNNNNNNNNNNNNNNNNNNNNNNNNNNNNNNNNNNNNNNNNNNNNNNNNNNNNNNNNNNNNNNNNNNNNNNNNNNNNNNNNNNNNNNNNNNNNNNNNNNNNNNNNNNNNNNNNNNNNNNNNNNNNNNNNNNNNNNNNNNNNNNNNNNNNNNNNNNNNNNNNNNNNNNNNNNNNNNUCUCUCGUUCUCCCAAUUGUUCUUCCUUUUUUCUUAAUAUAGUGCGGAAAAUGGGCCGGACUGACUAUUGUAUCCCGUCAGCAAGACAUCCCUACAGUCUCGCUCAAGGCGAGAUAUAGUCGCCGCACGACCCUAUGUCUCAGAUUCAGUGAGAUACACAAACACACAAUAGCCUCAUUUUCUGUUUUGUUUUCUUUCACAUUUUUUGUUUUGUUUUUUUGCUUCUUUUAUAUUUCAAAAUAUUCUAGAUAAAUAUAUUACAAAAAUCAUUGUAAAUAAAACAUUAAAAAAAUGUUGACCAAGCAUAUUAAAAGUGUUAAAUAUAUAUAGAGACAAUGUCUAUCACAUAUACAAAAAAUGUAUAAAAAAUAAAAUGUGUAUGAAACAAUGUAAUCAUGUAUUUAAAAAAGUUAAUCAAGCAUUUUCAAAAGAUGUUGAAGAAGUGUUUAAAAAUGUUAAGCAAGCAUUUGGAAAAUGUUAAUUGUGUAUAGAUUUUUUUGCCAUGUAUUAAAAAAUGAUAAAAAAUCUGCAUGUAUAUAAAAAAUUAUAUCAAGAAUUUAGAAAACUAUUGAAAUAUUAUUUGAAAAAUGUAAAUGUGUAUAGAAUAAAUGUUAACUAUGUAUUAAAAUGAUGAAAUUUUAUUGAUCAUUUAUAGGCUGCGUCCACGGGGACCUUUUUCCCCUUAAUCACUGUUUGAUAACCGGAGUGGGGAAGAACGGUGGUGCCGUAUGAUACGGGGCUACCGCGUGUAUGCACAUAUCUGUACCGGCUCUGCCCACAAAUAGAAAUAUGAAAAGUAGCAUUGAUGUGCGCUAGUGGGGAAUCCAGACUCCGUGGGAAGGCCUUAAUCCUAUUGAUUUUGACAUUCUACUUUACGUCCCCUGUUACUAAAUUCUAUUUCAGUAUUUUUACCUUUAUCCUCGCUACCCCGUUUUCACCAUUUUACUACUACGCCGGAUUUCCUACAAAUUGCAGGCAUGGCUAUUUAAAAAGUAAAUGUGGAUGUCUGGGUAGUGCACCCACUAGAUUAAUUACACAUGUAAUCCGCCAACACUAAAUGCAAAUUUGCAACACACUUAUCUAUAUAUUAAAUGAGGGCAUAUCCUAGCAUGAUAUGGUCAGUCUUAUUAAUGCUUUAACAAAUAUACCAAUCUUAGAAAAUCAAUUUUAGCAGAAAAAAUUAGCCCGCGAGCAUUCAAUAUGGUUACCGGAUAUCGCAAGGCCAUCCAUAAGAUUUAAGAUCUUAUCCAACAAACUAAAUCUACAUGUAGAUUUGUUGGAUGGAGAGAUCUGGUAUUUAAGUGUGCUCACCACCAUAGCCCAUAUAAAAAACCAUGUGGUGUAGAAGUCUUGCAUAACCAAAGAUUGAUCAACACACCUGCCUAGUGUUAACAUCUUCCACAAGAAAGAUGGCUAGUUCUAAAGUAAUGUGGGUGUUCUGCCUCCUAGCUUUACUGGCUUUCACUUCUUGUUCUUAUCAUGUACGAGCAGAAGAUCAUGCCACUAAGGAGAAAAAUGAGGUGAUGGAGUAUUGCAAGAGGUACAUAUUCAAAAAUUACGGCGAUCAGUUUCCUGACCCCCACAGGAAAUGUUGCCAAACAGUAAGAGAAUCAAGACACAUCCAUGCUAUACGCCAGAAAUUCACGCACGCGGAUUUGCAUAAGAUCAGUCUAGCCAAGUGGCUCAUGUUACAUAUUGGUGUGGCAACAGAUUGCACCCAGGGACUAAUUGCGCAGGUGUGUUAAUNNNNNNNNNNNNNNNNNNNNNNNNNNNNNNNNNNNNNNNNNNNNNNNNNNNNNNNNNNNNNNNNNNNNNNNNNNNNNNNNNNNNNNNNNNNNNNNNNNNNNNNNNNNNNNNNNNNNNNNNNNNNNNNNNNNNNNNNNNNNNNNNNNNNNNNNNNNNNNNNNNNNNNNNNNNNNNNNNNNNNNNNNNNNNNNNNNNNNNNNNNNNNNNNNNNNNNNNNNNNNNNNNNNNNNNNNNNNNNNNNNNNNNNNNNNNNNNNNNNNNNNNNNNNNNNNNNNNNNNNNNNNNNNNNNNNNNNNNNNNNNNNNNNNNNNNNNNNNNNNNNNNNNNNNNNNNNNNNNNNNNNNNNNNNNNNNNNNNNNNNNNNNNNNNNNNNNNNNNNNNNNNNNNNNNNNNNNNNNNNNNNNNNNNNNNNNNNNNNNNNNNNNNAUAGCAUUUUGAUGUAAUUUCCAAGCUUAUCUUCAUGAAAUUAAUUACUUACGAGGAACACAAUCUCAUAUGUAGGUUUCAUCGUUCCAGAUUAUAGUGCGCCACCACCUCCAGAACACUAAACGUAAGGCCGGUCCGGUCAAAUAAGGAAAGGAGUGUUAUAAUAUGGAGCACUUAGUCUAAGGCAGUCUUAUCGAACAAAGGAAGGGAUGCUAUGAUAUUGAUGCUUUAUCAUAGGACCUCUGCAAUAAUGUAUCUUACUUUUAAUUUUAUGACUAAUAAAAGGACUGCCCGCAUGUUCUCUUUGUGUUUAGUAUGAUAUUUAGUUGUCCAUUGACAUACAUGGCCUCAAGCAAUGACUUUCACUUCUGAUAAAAUAGACUGCUGAAUUAAAUCCAAAGUCUUGUAAACAAACAUAGCUUGUUCUAUUCCUAAUAAUCACUAUAAUAAACACUAAUAAAUAAUUUGUGUUUGUCGAAUGGCAUGGUCUUUGCCGAGCAUUUUAUGGGAUAUUGGUAGACCACCUAUUUGUCGAGAACCACACUCGGUAAAAGCAAGCACUUGAUAGUCUUUAGUUCGUCGAGAGCUAUGAGAAAAAUACCCGGCAACCCCAAAACACUCGGCCAAUGCAACUUUUGAUGAGAGCUCGUGACAUGGUACUCGACAACUAGGAGCCAUGUGGCACAGCCGUCCAAGGUUGAAGGCUCUGUGACACUAAUGCGUCCCCAGACACGAGGCUAUGAUUUGCCGGCAAUUUGGGACCACUUAACCGGCGCCUUCAGUGUCAGUUGGUGUUUCCUACGCCCACGCAGUUGACAGUAUGGGCCGGCCCACCACAAGGCGAGGCGGACCGCGCCUCUUCGUAUGCUUUUGUUGACCGGUUGACAGUUGACCAGUUGGCCGGUCAACCAUUGACUUUUGAAUUAAAAAACGAAAAGUUUUUCAAAAAUGUUCAUGGAUUUUGGAAAAAUAAACUAAAAAAAUAAAAAAACCACAAAUUUGAAAAAAAAACACUCAUAAAUUUUGAAAAAAGUCCACGAAUUGGAAAAAAAUCAUCGAUGCAUAUGAUCGCUAGCUUUUCCUCGAAAGAAAUUUUGAUAGUUAGCUUCGAAGAGUGACACCAUUUUGAGGGCCUAGCUUAAAAUUCUGAUCGCUAGCUUCGUUUGUGUUUUAGCACUGAUCGCUAGGUUCUUUUUUUCUUUCUUUUAGAUACCGAUCGCUAGCUUUGUGCUAACCGGUAGCCUACUAGCACAGACGAGCGGUUGAACAUAUAGGCCAGCCCACCCUGGUAGGAGUGCAGGACAUGCGGACGAGCUGGUUUAUUUGUUUUGGGUUUUAACAAAUCAAACAAACAAUGAGGAAGUGAGGUGACGCUGACAUCUCUACUCCUAAGGGAGCUGUUGGUAGUCUCGCUUUCAGGUAUUUUUUAGUCCCACCUCCCACGGUUUAUUUUGGUACCUCUUCCCACCUCUGACUAAGACAUCACAAACCGAAAAAACCUCCUCCUGAGGCCCGAACCCGCACCUAUCCACAUGCGACCCUCAAAAGACGUACGAAGGUUAACCUGCGACAAAAAAACCUACGACGGUCAACCAGCGACGAGUCCUGUUCUCGAGCGAGGCCCCCCUUCGUGGCCGCCCUACAUCCCUGCGCCGCCGCGCUUCAGUCGCUGCCCUCCAUCCUCGCCGUCCUCCAUCCUGGUCGAGGUCGCCGCCCCGCUUCACUCGCCGUCCUCCAUCCGCGUCGAUCCUGGACAAGGUCGCCGCGGCCCUCCAUCACUUCGCCGCCGCGCUGAACACCUCGACGAUCCGGCGCGGGUCCUGGAUCAGGUCGCCGCCGCCCUCCAUCACUUCGCCGCCGCGCUGAACUCCUCGCCCUUGAUCCAGGAUAUCCGGCGCCGAUCCUGGACGAGGAUAAGCGGACACGUCCAGGAUCCGGCCAGAACACGUCCUGGAUCCGAAAAAUAGGUAUACAAACCAUCUCAUACGUCAAUCGCAUCUCAUACAUCUCAAAUGCCAUACAAUCGCAUCUCAUACAUCUCACAGCCCAUACAUCCAUCGCAUGUCAUACAGCCAUGGCAAGUGCUUUCACAGGGAUGGAUCCGCCUGCGAGAUUGAUUUCUGUUCUACACAGUUUAGGUUUUUUUCCAUGUUAAAACUAGACUCAAGUACACAUGUUUACAGAUGGCAAUUGGCAAAAAAAAUUACCAAGGGGUAUCCUGCAUCCUGCACUUGUAUAACUAUGGCAAAAAAGAAAACACAAACCAUACAGGACCCUAGAGUAUGUUUCCACUUGUGCUGAGAUGUAGAAGAUGUAGAUGAAAGUGCCAUUGCAGUAUUUAUGUAGAAUAAAAUACAAUUGCAGUAUAUGCUAGCAACAGGUUGCAGUAUAUAUGUAGAACAAUAACCCUUCCAGAAUGUCAUCAAAUAACUACCAUUUCUGUCUUCAUGAUUUUUGCCAUUCAAUAGUUGCAUAUGGGGAAUUCAAAAAGCACGGUUGGCGAACAUCAACCUGAAGAUGACGUAACUACAGGUAUGAUGCACUCUACCAUGUUUUCGUUUAGUUGCGAGACCUGAAUAUAUGACAGUAUGCAUAAUGUCUUCCAGGUCUUACAAGCGGGAGAAGUGAUGCAGAACACAAUGCGAGCAUCAUACCCGUAGCUGAAAUUGUUGAUAACGUCUACUCGACGGAAUCAGGUAUAAUACUGUCCGGAGAUUGGUUAUAAAUGUUGCUUCACGUCCAUUUCUGAAAGUGGCAGAAUGCAUUAUGUGUUGCAGUCCUUACGGGCGGGAUAAAUGUUGGAGACUACAAUGCAAACUUCAUACCCUUACAUGCAGGUAUAAGACUGUGUCAAGAUUAUUGCUGCUAAUGUUUCGUGCAUACCGUAUAUUUUGUUGAUUGCUAAGAUGUAGGGCGGGAACCUUCAAACGACGGGAUUCCGCCGUAUUCUGAGAAUAAUAAGGAUGGUACGACUAAGCUACAAGAUGAUACUCAAGGUAUUCACAGGCAUGCUUAUACAGCUUCCAAAUCGACAUCUCCCAGAUGAGCUUAAUGGGCUUUGUGGUUUUUACGCUUAACGUAAUGCAGAUGACAAAACUUCCGAGCAGCAUGCAACAGUAGCUGUAUUUAAUGAAGAAAAAAAACGUUGGCGAAACAAGGGAGUAGUUCAACGCACAGAGGCGUGAAUCUUAUCGGAAGAAAAAAGAGGAGGAUAUGGUCAGGUUACAAGAGUAUAAUCAGCCAUCCCUUUCAAAGACUGGUAAGUAUUUAAGCGUGAUUUUGCUGACUACUCUUGGUUUUUUCUGACUACCUAUAGUAUGCAAAUUAAUCGUUAUAGUAACCUGACUUCAUAGAUGUUCCCCGUGUUGGUUUCAUAGAUGUUGUAUCAACAUCGAUACUUUUUUUGUUCUCUAACUCUCAUACCUAUUGUAAAAAUGGUAGACCAUAGGGAUCUUAUCAACGCGUGGAGGCGGGCAUCUUAUCGCACUAAGAAGUCAGAUGGUUUUAUAAACCAUCUAGACGAUGGGCCGAUUGUUCACCGCCGUACCCAACCAUAACUCAUCGUAAGGUGGCCACCAAGCAAUUAGACCAGGAUGUCGUGAAGAAGUUAGUAGACAUACUCAAAGAAAACCCGUACUCCCAGCAAUUUAGGAGUUUGGGUGCACACAAGGACAACCUCGAUGAUUAUAGGAUAGACCUAAACACCGAUAAGAGGCUUGACCAAAGAAGAUAUAAUAGACCAUUGUCAUCUGAGGUCGCUGCAAUUUGGGUUGAGGGCAACGACCUAGCAAAAAGGUUUGACCGGAGGAUAACACUUUGUGGUAACAACAACGAAAGGCAUAGUAUACGUGUGACCUCCGGAGCAUAUGACCCGUUGUCUUAUCCCCUAUUCUAUCCAAGGGGGGAGCUAGGUUGGCAUCCAAAGCUACUUAAACGUAAUGUAAUGGAGGAGGUUGUACUACAUUCUCAACUGGUCCAUGAUGAUGAUGAGGAUGCAGGUAUGCCGUCUGCGUCCCAUUUUGCUACAAAUAAUAUCUUAUUUCUCGAAUAUAUCCUCAUUUUGAUGGUACUCAAUCAUGUGCAAAGGGCAACAGCAGGUUGUGCGUCUCUGUCAGAGACUACUACUGUUACAUGCUGCAGACACGGCCUGGAAUCUUCAAUCCCAUACUCUGUGGAGCACGCCUCUUGCAGCAAUGGGCGGUCGACAUGUACGUCAAGAUUGAAAGUUGACGGUUGAGGUGGUACAGGAAAAACCAGACGCAGAUUCGUGCCGACUUGUAUAAAGGAGUUGUUGAUGCAAUCACAUCGGGGGAGACGCGAGCAAGCGCUGUUGGGGUAAGAAUAGUGCUCCCUGGAACAUACCCUGGUGGCGACCGCGACAUGAAGAAGAGGCAUAUGGAUGCCAUGCCAAUUGUCCAUACAUACGGGAAGCCUGACAUCUUCUUGACCAUGACUUGCAAUCCUAAAUGGGAAGAGAUAACGAAUGAGUUGCUGUCUGGUCAGACGGCGCAAGACCGACCUGAUAUUGUGGCUCGCGUGUUCUACGGCAAGCUAGAGGCUAUGAAGGACAUGUUGUUCAAGAAGCAUAUCCUGGGUGUUGUUGUCGCAUAUGUAUACGUAGUCGAGUUCCAAAAAAGGGGCCUCCCCCACGCACAUUUUUUGUUGAUCAUGGACUCUAAAUAUAAGCUUAUCGUCCCGGAGCAGUAUGACCGACUCAUUUCCACAGAGCUCCCAGACAAGCAUAAGUAUCCGGAAUUGUAUGCUAUGGUGGUAAAACAUAUGAUGCACGGACCAUGCGGUGCUCUCAACCCGAAAAAUGUUUGCAUGCAAGAAAACAGAUGCAAGUGCAGAUACCCACGGCCGUUCAAUGAAAACACAUCACAGGGGAAGGACUCGUACCCAAUUUAUUGGCGUAGAGACGAUGGAAGGCAUGCUAAGGUCCGAGGGAAGAUGUUGGACAACAGAUGGGUUGUGCCUUAUAACCCAUACCUGCUGCGGAUGUUCAAUUGCCACAUCAACGUUGAGGUCUGCUCCAGCAUAAAGGCCGUCAAAUAUCUUUACAAGUACAUUUACAAGGGCCAUGAUAAGGCUUCUUUCAGCAUCGACCAUCCCGACGCCGAUGGUAACAUUGAUGAGAUCAAGAGAUACGUUGAUGCAAGGUGGAUCACCCCUCCGGAGGCUAUGUGGAGGAUAUUUGGCUUUCCACUUUGCGCCAAUUACCCACCUGUCUUGCAGUUGCCUCUUCAUCUCCCGAAUAUGCACAGGGUCGCAUUCAAUGCGCAGGUUGACUUGAAGAAUGUUGUCGCCUCCGAAAAUAAUUCAAAAUCCAUGUUAACGGAGUAUUUCAAGGCUAACCAGGAACACCCUCGGGCUAGGCAUAUAUUGUACAAGGAUUUUCCCGGAAGCUUCACGUGGCAGAAGAAAAAGAAGUUUUGGAAGCCGCGGGUCGAGCGUUUUCAAAUAGGUCGCAUCGUGUCUGCCAAUCCUGCCAAGGGUGACCGAUACUACCUGCGUGUGUUGCUAAACCAUGUUACGGGCAAAACAUCCUUUGACGACUUGCUCACCGUGGACGGCGUUCUAUGUGGGAGCUUUAGAGAAGCUGCUGAAAGGUUGGGACUCAUCGAGGCAGACAACACGCUCGACAACUGUCUUACUGAGGCUGAGCAGUGGGCGAUGCCAUGUUCUCUUAGGAGGCUCUUCGCAACCAUCUUGGUGCACUGAGAGCCAAGCGACGUGCGUGGUUUAUGGGAUAGGCACCUCGAUCCUAUGUUAGAUGACUAUCGUCGAUCACGCACGUCCCCUAUCGAGGUGGAGCAGAUGGUGUUGCUUGACAUUAGGGGUAUGUUGCAGUCCAUGGGUAAAGACAUUGUUGAUUUCGCUCUUCCAAGCAUAGAUGAUGCGUUUGACCCAACCGAGGGUGAGGCAAGAGAGGUCAUCGAGGAAUCAACUGUUGAGUUUGACGUGGAUGAUACUAAAUUGGCAUCUUCCCUGAACUUGGAGCAGAGGGCCGCAUACGACGAGAUACUAGCGGCUGUUGAACGCGGUGAUGGGGGUGUAUUCUUUGUUGAUGGCCCUGGAGGUACAGGGAAGACCUUUCUAUACAGGGCGAUGCUUGCCAAGGUGAGGAGCGAUGGCAAUAUUGGUAUCGCUACCGCGACGUCGGGCGUCGCCGCUUCUAUCAUGCCUGGCGGCAGAACUGCCCACUCGAGGUUCAAGAUCCCAUUGAGUUGCGAUGAUGGAGCCUCGUGCAGCUUCACGAAGCAGAGUGGGACCGCCAAGCUGCUUAGGAUGGCCUCAUUGAUAAUAUGGGACGAGACCAGCAUGACGAAACGACAAGCGGUCGAGGCAUUGGACAAUAGCAUGCGCGACAUCAUGGGAAUACGCGACCGACCCUUUGGAGGAAAGACUGUUGUUUUGUGCGGGGACUUUAGGCAGGUGCUUCCGGUCGUCAGAAGGGGGUCGCGGGGCCAGAUAAUUGAUGCAACCCUACGAAGUUCUCAUCUAUGGAAGGGUAUGCGGCAGCUUCGGCUCAUCACCAACAUGAGGGCUCAUAAUGACGCGUGGUUUGCAAAUUACUUGCUAAGGGUCGGCAAUGGCACUGAGGAAGUCGACGAUCAAGGCAACAUACUACUCCCUGAAGACAUUUGUCUGCCGUCUACAGGCAAGGUUGACGACCUGGAGAAGCUUAUUCACCACGUGUUUCCGAGUCUAGAUGACAACAUGUCUGAUUCAAAUUACAUGACAUCUCGAGCAAUCCUUUCCACGACAAACGACAAUGUCGACAAGAUAAACAUCCGCAUGAUGGAGCGUUUUCAGGGAGAUGAAGUAAUAUACCAUAGCUUUGACAGUGCGGAGGACGACCCAUAUGGCUACUACGCUCAGGAGUUUCUGAAUGGAUUGACUCCUAACGGUCUUCCUCCGCAUGUACUCAAGCUAAAGCUGAACUACCCUGUCAUACUUCUAAGGAACAUUGAUCCAGCAAAUGGAUUGUGUAACGGCACUAGGCUUGUUGUUCGAGGUUUUGAGAGGAACACCAUUGAUGCAGAAAUCGUGAUUGGACAACACGCUGGCAGGAGGGUCUUCCUUCCUCGAAUACCUCUCUGCCCAUCUGAAAACGACAUGUUUCCGUUCAAGUUUAAGAGGAAGCAAUUUCCUAUAAGGCUUAGCUUUGCUAUGACCAUUAACAAGGCCCAAGGGCAGACAAUCCCGAUUGUUGGUGUCUACCUACCCAAUCCCAUGUUCUCUCAUGGUCAACUCUAUGUUGCUUUGUCUCGAGCCACCGCAAAGAGAAACAUAAAGAUACUCAUUCAGAAGGAGAAGCCGAAGGAGAAGUCCAACAAGCAAAAGGACAAUCCAAAUAAGCGAAAAAGACCGACCGUGUAAUUACUAACCUCGAUGAAGAACAUCGUCUACAAGGAAGUCCUUACAGGCUGAAGUCCGGUCUUAAUAGAUCGGCAGGUUAUGUAAUGACACAACAUUUACUCUUGUGAUGGUCAAGAUUUAUUGUAAUUCGUUUUUUUACAUAUAUCUUUUUUAUUUGGUAUUUUGAUAGUUGGAGGUAUACUCCAUUUAGUUGAGCUACUAACUGCAUUUCAAUAAUCAGCCGUCAUGUUGGCACCAUUAUCGCUGUUAUAUCUUUUCUAGUAUCGCAAUGUUUCUGGCAGUGUACAUGUCACCCACCGUAGUAUUUCAUGUGUAAUAUGUGAUUCAGAUAUAAUGAUUGGCCUGAAAAAUACCUGGAACAUGCAAUGAAACUUUUGUGUUACGGCAAGUGAUCAUAUCCAUUGUUAUUAUUUUGAUAUUUUGAUAAUAUGGUUGAAUGUAAAUUUAUUGGCGUCCUUAUUAUCCCUGUAUUAUUCUGAUAGGUCAGAAGUAUAGGAUUAUGAUUGGUCUGAAUUAUAAGACCAACACACGCAGAAGGGAAGUUUGUGUAGCUUUUCAAGAUAUAUUUUGCAUAUGUACAUCUAAUAAAUAAUAAAAUGGUAGCCUGCGUACUUGCAAAUAUGUUCAAAUGCCCGUGCGACUCUGGAGAAUGUGACAAUGCACGUGUCUGAUUGCUGAAGUGUGCAAUCUUUGGAAAAAAGAUUGAUUACUUGUACUUUCACGCGUCUGAACUAAUUAUUUAUCAGUUCAGUUCAAGUUUCAUUUUUAUUUUUUGCAUUGGUUCAUGUACCUUCAUGAGUUUACUGUGGAUCUGAAAGAGUUCUAACCUAAAAAAUUGUACAAGGCUGCAUUAAUCUAGGACCUGGCGAGGAUUGGUUCAGAGAGCAAGCAUCGUUCCGCAGUAUCUUAAGGACGCUGGUUGGGCUGAGGGUGGUCGCCUUAUAGGUUGCACCCAGCCAAGACGAUUGGCUGUGCAGGUAUCAACUGUUUAAAUGUUCAUCAAAAUGUGUAUCCUUCUCUAGAUGCCAUGUAAUACUAGGUUUCUCUUUUUACCUUCUGAUCAGAGCAUGCACCAGAUUAUUCUUUUGGGUACGUCCCUAGCAACUAGCAUGGCGAGUAAGGAUCUUAGCUAAUUAUCUAGAGCAAGCUUCUGUAUUACUUAUGGAUAUUCUGGUGCAACAUGAAUCAAACCCGGGCAACAUGAAUCUAAGAAAUAAAUUAUUAGAGAUAGAUAACUCCUAAAAGAUAAGCUUGGAGGACUUUCGCAGAGCUCCCAGCCACGAAGAUUUAUCCAGCUUCCCCUUUGUGACCUAGCCGUUUGUGACAGGGUUGCCAUGUGGUAGUGGCCAUAGUGCCCAAAAGUGUGUCUGUAACAGGAGACUUCAUCCUGCAAAAUUAUUCAUGUGCUCCGGCAGUGAUUUCUGACAUCCUAUACGGAGCAGUCAGCUGAUAGAACCAUAUCUGUACUAAUUAGAAGAUGGUAGCUGAACAUUUUGUUUACUGCAUUGGUAUUACUAAUUUCCAUAUGUUUGAAUUUUUUUACAAGGUAGGGGUUGCGUUCUAUUUUACAUUUGUUGUCAAUGUAUUUUUUAUGUAAUACUAUGUCACUACUAUAUAACACUGAUUUUUAGCGUAGAUAUCCAUGAAGCCAGCCUCAUGACACUUGACGAAACACGUGCGUACGUCAAUGGUGUUGUUCAAGCUAGGAACAAUGGAGGCUAGAAGUAUCUGUGUACACAAGUGCACAAUUUGUCUUAGAUAUAAAAAUGUAUGAACGCUUUGCAUGCAACAUUUUGUUGCCAAUUGUCACAUUAUGAAGUGUUCGCUUAUGUCUUGGAGGUUUAAUAAUAUGUGAUAUUCAAUAAAAAAAUAUUUAACAGUGUCGUCAUAUUUCGUAGCCAUAUACUGUGAAGUUCAGAACUAUAUAUUUGACUAAUAUAUAUUUGAUGACCAAACUGUCAAUAAUGGACUUCAAAUGGUAACCUGUCUACUCUCAUUUGAGCUACACGUAUGAAUCUCUUUCAGUGUAGGUUCAAAUUUUUUAAUAUACAGUGCAGCGCAAAAAGAAAAUACGUUUACCUUGACAGAUGCUAUCGCAUGCUAUCAUGCAUUAUGACAUUCCAAAGAUAAUAUAAUUAAUUUUGUACAUGGAAUCAAGGAUUGCCGUAUGCCCGUGCGUUGUGUUUCUUUCUACACACGGAAACAAUAGUUCUUCAAGUGGCGUGGGCUUUUUGAUCAUGGUGAGGAGGACAAAAAUAGAAGAAGAAAAAACGUUGUGUUUCUUUAUAUUUCUCGGACGCCCGUGUUUGACAUAUAUUUGGGAAAUAAAUUAAUUGUUUCUUUCUAUAUAUCUGGAGGCAAAGUUUGGAAAGGAGACAUAAAUUAGGAAAUAUAUAAUCCGGCGUUGAUACAUUUGCCGGGUGGAGCAUGCAACCAAAAUAAUUUUAUUCCAUGUUUUCCUAUAGUUUUUGUUAUGGAAUAUUGUAACUACGGAAGGAUAUGGGCCACCUUCCGAGUACAUGCCCACGAUUCCUCCCGGCCAGGAUAUGUCAAUUAGAACUAUAAUUAUCCUUAAAGUCAUUUCCUUCCAAAACGUUAUAGUGUCCAAUCUCCCGGUCCGGCCUACCAUACGUUCAAUGGGUUUCCCAGUGUGGCCAUUAAUAUUCCCUUAAUCGGAUUUGUUUAUAAGGAAAGUUAAAUUAUGCUUCUUCCGAUCGGGAAAGGGAGACAUAUAUAAUAGAUAUAUAAUCCGGCAUAUAUUUAUUUGCCCAGUGGAGUAUGGAAGAAAAACAUAUGCUUGUCCUUUUAUUAGCAAGGAUUUGUAAUGAAACAUGCACGGAUGGAAUGAUAAGGGGCACCUUCCAAUCCAUACAACAUGCUAAUGUGUCACCGACCUGGUGCCGGACGAUUCCCCUCCGACACUCAUAUAUAUGGUCCGGCUGUGAGUCCACCGUUGUCCACUGCCCCCUCGCUCGCUCGUCCUGGUGCUAAGACGACUUUCUGCCCGUGCCAAUGGCUGCAAUGCCGAUUUUUGAUGGAGUGAACGACGCAGUCGAGUACAUAUACAACUACGUCAUGCUUUCCUCAGUCGAGGAGCAGUUAGAGUUUGUUCUGGCAGCCCUAAACUCUAUCUAUAAUUUAUUUGCAAUUGUUAGCUGCAGAUCAGUACCAUUAUAUUAUGCAUUAUCGGCUUCUUAUUUUAAACCCUAGUAAAAAUCUGUUCUUUCACCUAAUCCACGUCGAUGAGUUGGUCACGUUCAUAAGUUGUUGCAUGCAUGCACUGGUUAGGAUCAUGCGAUCCUUUCUAAGUCCAUAAGGUUCUUAAGAUCUAACGUAGUGGUUGCAAAAAUCUGGUCAUGCGCUAAUAUUAUCCUUUUACAUUACGCCAUGUUAGUACCAUCCACAGCACGUUAUUUUAAACUAUAAAUUUUCUAUGAACUGUAGUAUAUUGCAACGGGUCCUGGUGCAUGAUACAUGUACCAUCUAUAGAUUUUAUCAUAACUGUAAUAGGAACAAGUUGCAACCGAACAUAUCAUAAUAGAUUUGGUUAUCUUACGAAAUAGUACUUAUGUCCUCAAAUGACACUACAACUCCAAUUUUUAGGUACAUACAUUUCAGACCUUUCUAAAGUUUUGAAAAAAUAUACUAUUGUUUGCCCACACAUUGAAGUACAAUAUUUUUAUGAUACCCUGAUUUUAUCAUGCCGGUUUGUUUGCAGCACAAUAUGGAUAAGGAGCCCUCGUCCAUUCAUGAUCGAGUUAAGUCUACGGACUAUCCAAGACACCAUGCGAGGUGAUACAUGGGUCAAUCCGAGCUGCUUCGAUCUUGCAGUGCGUAAGCUUAGUAGCGACGCGAUACAAAGGAACGCAGGAACAUGUUAAUCUUGUAUUUAAAAAAAGGACUGUGAUAUUUGGCACAUGUGUGCCAUAUAAGGAAAACUGCCACACCUCUACUUCUUUCACUUUAAAGUACCACACGAUCCCUUCCUUCGACCCCGCAGGCUCACCCGAGAAACCUGCUUCUCCCGCACAUCUCGCGCGCCCACCCCCGAGAAAACUGCCACUUUUUCACGUCUACCACAUGAUAAAAAAAUAUUGCGCAUGUGGGAUUCGAACCCACACCUCCUUGGCACCAAAGCGCGCCACCACAACCAACUCACCCUUAGGUAUUUGUUGCUCAAACUAAAGAAACUAAUCGUUUUGGCCCCUUUUUUUACAAUUUUGUUACUACAAAAAAGUACAGAAAAUUACCACGAUUUCCCCUCAGGACAAAGUUACCAUGGUAUUCGCAUGCAAGUUAUCAGUCCUGUGUUGCGUAAGUUACCGUGCUAUUUACAUAGAACUUACCAGGUACUAUGUUUCAACAACUACACCCUUUUCAAAGUUACCAUUGUGUUUUGUACACAAGUUAUAAGGUCUUCGAUGUGUAAAAUACCGUGGUACUUACACAUAAGUUAUCAGGGUAUGUGUACAUCAACCUCGCCCUGGUCAAAGUUACCAUGGGGGGUUGUACAUGAGUUACCGGGUCUACAGUUCGUAUAUUAUCAUGGUACUUACACCUAAAAACCUGCGUGUGUUUCGGUAACUUUUUUCAUAUGUCAAAAAUUACCACGAUGUUUUUGCGUAACUUAUCACGCCUAUAGUGGGUCAAAGUGGGUCGUUUUUCUGGGCCAACCCACAAGCACAUGUGCCCCUCAUGACACUAAACAUUAUGUGGCUUUUCCGUGGCACACCAUGUGUUGUGUUCAUCUAAGAGGCCCCGUGAGGCGAGUGUAUGUUUUUAACAACUUGUUUUCCUUUGACAAGUUACCAUCAUGUUUAUAUUGUAUGUUAUCGGUUAUGCGGUGCUUAUAUUAUCAUGUUAUUCACACAAAAGUUAUCGGGGAUGUUUUGAACAACUUUUUCCUGGGACAAAAAGUUAUCAUGGUGAUUCUAGGUAACCUAUCAAGCCCGCAGUGCUUAAAAUAUCAUGUUAUUUACACAAAAUUUAUCANNNNNNNNNNNNNNNNNNNNNNNNNNNNNNNNNNNNNNNNNNNNNNNNNNNNNNNNNNNNNNNNNNNNNNNNNNNNNNNNNNNNNNNNNNNNNNNNNNNNNNNNNNNNNNNNNNNNNNNNNNNNNNNNNNNNNNNNNNNNNNNNNNNNNNNNNNNNNNNNNNNNNNNNNNNNNNNNNNNNNNNNNNNNNNNNNNNNNNNNNNNNNNNNNNNNNNNNNNNNNNNNNNNNNNNNNNNNNNNNNNNNNNUGGUGUUUUAGUUAUCGCAGUGCAUAUGUUUUCAUGCUAUUUAUACUUAAAAAUACUAGGGGAGGGAGGUAUAGUACCGUGCUAUUUACACAGAAGAUACCAGAGUAUCUUUUCAAAAACAAAUCUUCCCUAUGGUCAAAGUUACCAUGGUGUUUCUACCUUAGUUAUCAGAUGUGUGCUGCGUAUAUUACCAUCUAUUUACACAUAAAUUAUCGGGUAUCUUUUCACAUUUUUCUUCCCCAAUGAUUAAAGUUACCACAAUUUUUGUAUCCAAAUUAUCAGGUCUAUGGCGUGAAUGUUAUCGUGCUAUUUACAGAAAUUACCGGGGCCGGGGUUCAACUCUUCCCAAUGAUCAAAGUUACCACGAUGCUUUCACCAAAGUUACCACGCCUUCAGUGCUUAUGACCAUGCUACUUACACAAUGUACCGCGUGGUGUACAAACGUUAUCAUGUUGGUGGUGCGUCAUUUAUCGUGGUGGUGAUGGAGAAUUUACCACGGGAAAAAUUUAUGUGCCAGGUUUGUAGGUGAAACAAAAGUUUUUCAGUGCUAAAAUAUUAAAGGCAAAACAUGUCAAAAAUAGUCUUUUCCUUAGCCUGUUCAACGAUGAGUGUCAUAGGUGAGGUGGUUAGCUCCCUUUGUUGAUUACCUGCAGACCAAAGAUCAAAUCCCAACCCAAGCAUUAUUUUUGCCCGAAAAUUGGGAAGGCGUGCGGGAAAGGAAGGAGAUCGGGAGGAAAGGAAGGAGAUCGGGAGGACGUGCGGGAAAGGAAGGAGAUCGGGAGGGCGGCCAGAACUGACGGUGUUGGAUGCGUGUUGCAGUUUUGCAAUCUGCCACACGGUUGCCACUUACAUAUUUCGUUAAAAAAAUGUUACAGGUGUAUUAGAAAAUGUUCUUGACGCAUACAAAAAUUGUAGAAUGGAAACCAAAAGGAACCAAAAAAUAAACAAAAAGGUCAAAAAAUAUAUAAUGAGAAAUAAAACCGAAGAAAGAAAUGCAAAAAGUAUGGGGAAACCGGUAAAACUCAUAAAGAAAGAAAGAAAAUUAAAAAACAUUGAAAACUAAGAAAACCAAAAGAAAAAAAGAAAAGAAAAAGAGAAGAAUUGAAAGAAAACGGAUGAAAAACAAAGAAGGAAAGAAAAGAAAAGAAAGAAAGAAAGUGAAAACCGAAAAGAAAGGAAGAGAAACUUUAAAAAAAGAAAAACCGGAGAAACUAGUGAGAAAACAAGAAAAACUAAAAAAAUAGCAAAACCAAUGAAGGAAGCUCAACUAGCAAAGGAACUCGAUAGAAAACUAGCCCAGCGAACGAGCGAAGGAAGUGCAGCGAGCGAUCGCGAACGAAAGAAAAAAGCAAAACUUGGCCGGCCUGAUAACUUCGUUGCAGAGCAAAGAUCUUCAGAGCAUCUCUAGCAGACCCUGAAUCCCGCCGACCCGCAAAACGCGUUUGCAGUUCGCGGAAAACGCGUUUUAAGGGUCGGUUUUUGCCGCGGCAGAACAGACCCCUCAAACUUAAACUGUAAAACGGAAUAUUCGCUUAUAUUCUGUCUUCUUCUUCCUCUCGUCCAUGUCCAUGGUCAGCUAGCUUGCUCCCGCAAAACCGACGAAUAACACACGAAGCGGUAAAAAUGGAGCCGCAGGAUCCAUCCAUUAGCUAACUAGCUCUGCUCGAAUCGAUCGAGAGCUACCUGCUAGCUCUGCUCGAAUCCAUCAAUCGGAUUUCGGGUUCCGCAGACCCUUGAGAGGUUCGAACUCUAGGGUGCGCACGAAGAGCACUCUCUCCCCAGUCUGCACACUCAACGAUUCCACGGCCUAGCUCGAUGAACCCAAAGAACAAGUGACACGGGGGUUUAUACUGGUUCGGGCCACCUUGCGGUGUAAUACCCUACUCCAGUUUUGUGGUGGAUUGCCUCGAGGGGCUGAGGAUGAACUAGUACAGUGGAUGAACGACCUCAGGAGGUGAGGUGUUCUUGAGCUCGAUGAGCUGGUGAGAUGGCCUUGGUGGAAUGGAUCCAGUCCAAGAUGAGAUGCCCCCUAUGGUGGUGGCUAAGUCCUAUUUAUAGUGGCCUUGGUCCUCUUCCCAAAUGUAGGCGGGAAGGGAUCCCACAACGGCCAAGUUUGAAGGGAGACAACUAGUGCAAGCUAUCCUGACAAAAGUAGUCUUCGCCUGCCAAAGGCUGUGGUGGUGACGCCGUUAUGGGCUCCGCGAUGACCUCCGUCCUGCCGUCCUGGUGGUCUUGGUCUUGUUGCACCGAUAAGUAAACCUUUGCUUGAUUCCUCGGAACUCCGCGCCUACGCUUGUCUCCUUAGCACCAAAGAGGAAACUGGUACGCUGCACUCGCUGGCGCCCGCCUGGCCUUGGUCGUCAUGGCUCAUGUCAAGUGAACCUCACGAGGUGCGCCUUGCAUAGAUAUCUCCGCUCCCCGGGAGCCAGCCUAGCGAGGCCGCCCCCAGGGAGGUCUUGGUGUCGUCCGCCUCGCGAGGCUUGACCCCUCGCGAGGGUCUUGAGGUGUUGCUGCUAAAGCUGGGCCGUACCGGGCCGUUGAUGGAGCCACGCCUUGGGCCGCAGACAGGCACGUCUGGGUACCCCCAUUCCCAGGACGCCGACAGUAGCCCCCGGGCCCAAGGCGCGCUCGGGCUUGGCUUCGAGACGAAGCCAAUGGGCAAGUGCGGAGCACCGCGGGCCCCAACCUCCUGCGGCCUCGGUCGACGCUUGGCGAUUGAUGGGACGUGGGCGCCUCCACUUCCCCAUGAUGCCUCAGCAACCGUUCUCGCCUGACAAAAAGGCUGGCGCAUGCUGCAGAGCCUUCAUUGCCUUCCUUCGUCUUGCUCCAGAUCCCCUUUCUCUUUCUCGCUCCAAAGACUCCUAAUCCGCCGAAAAUUCUCCCCGAGCCCGCAGCCGAUGGCGUCCGACAAGGCGAAGGCCGUGCGCUCGCCCUCCUGGUUCGAGCCUGCCUUGAGCGCGCCUACGGUCACGGGGAAGAACCUCGCCGUCGCGCUCCUGAUGACGGCGGCCAGCAGCAACGAGGGCAGAGUCCGCGCUCCGGGCCGGUUCCGCUGAGCCAGAGGCCUCGGGCAGCACCUUCUAUCCUUUCUUCAUGCACAACGUCUUCACGGGGCUGGUCCCUUCUUUAUCUGACUUCUUCUAUGCCGUCCUCAGCCAUUCCAAUCUCCAUGCCCUCCAUCUUCAUCCCAACUCCGUCCUCCUUUUGUCGAUCUUUGCCUUUUACUGCGAGGCAUUCGUGGGGGUGAUGUCGUCCGUGGCGCUGCUUUGCCACUUCUUCUACCUUCGGAACAAGGAGGGCCAGUGCUCGGGGUGCGCCAAUUUCGUUGCGGCCAACGGGACCAACGCAAUCUCAAGAGCCGGGAAGAAGGUUGAGGGCUUCAGGAACAAGUGGGUCCUCAUCGAUGCCAAGAUCUCCUACCCUCGGCUGGCGCUGCCGACGGGGAUGCCUUCGCAUCACGAGGUGUGGCUCAGCGCAAAGCUUGCCGGCCCCCGGGCGAAGCAGGUGCUCGAGAAGAUGGCGGCCGACCUGAAGCCAGACGACCCGAAGGCGGAGAAGCUGAUGGGGGCCAUGAUCGUCAAGGAAUUUCUGUCGCAGCACUUGGCUCCACUCCAGGCGCGCUCGCGCCCCCUGUGGAGGCUCAUGGAAGAGGGAGGCAACCUCCUCCUGCAUCCGGACGCCUUGUCCGACGAGGAGCUGGACAAGGCCCUCCAUCUCCUGGUUGGGGAGGACCAGGGGUACCCGCCGGAUACCCAUCUUCCGCUGUACCGCCGCCCAGAUGGGGCGGAGGUCGCCGCCGCCAUGCCCGUCUUUAACGAGCGCGGGCUCGUGCCGCCAGCGCCCGUUGAGGCCCCGGUGGUGCUGUCCUCCGGCGAGCCCAGUGAGGAGGAGGGGUCGGACUUGGAGGCUACCCAGGAGGGGGCGGGGGAGACUUCUCCUCCGCGCGUGGCCGAUCUCCUGCGCACCUUCCCCGACGACGACGCCGACGAGCAUCUGGCGAGGGAGUCACUGCACCCCGCCGGGGUCACCACGAGGUCGAAGGGCACCCCCUCAAAGAAGCCGCAGGCCGGGGUCCCAAAGAAAAGCAGAUCAGCGCGGAUCUCCCAAGACGGUGCUUCUGCUUCGGCGUCGGCUGGUGCUGCUGCGAAUCCUGCCGCCGUGCCUUUGUCUGCUCCUAGGGCUCGCACGCCGGUGCCCCAGGCCGCGAAGCCUUCGGGCUUGGUGCUUCAGAAGAGGGUGAGGGAGUACGCCGCCGUGGACCAGUAAGUGCUCCACCCUGAUUCUUGUCCCUGUUUCUGCCGUUGUUUCUUGAUGCUUCUCCCUUGUACUGUCAGGCCAACGCUGGCGAAGAAGAAGAAGGAGACGGCCGCGACUCCUGGGGCCCGGCAGCCUGCCGCGGUUGCGCCACCUCUGGUGUGGAAGGACGGCGAUGGCUCUCGCGCCUCAGCGGCUGGGUCAUCCUCGCGAGAUUCAGAGGCCCGGCCUUAGAAGAAGGCGACCUCCAUGGCCCAGCCGGCUCCGAAGGCGCCCGCCCCCAGCUCGCCUGCUGAGGCUCCGAUGGCUCAGGAGGCCCCGGCCUCUUCUGCUGCCACCAACUUGCAGGUCUUGGCGGCGAUGCUGCCUCCUCCUCUCCCCAUCACGCCGCUGGGCCGUGAUCCUUCUGCUUUGCCUGACGCUCUGGAGGAGGCUCUUUCCACGCUGACCCAGCUUCGGGACGACCUUCAAGGCACCGACCGUCGCCUGGCGUUGGGGCGCCUGUAGUUGAUCUUGGGAUGGUUGCGAUCCGACGCGUCCGUCUGGGCGGCGGCAUGGAGCCAAGCCAUAGAAGCCUCCGAGGAAGGUGAGCGGGCCGUCGGCCUGGCCGCGACCGCCCGUGACGCAGCGCUGAAGGAUGUUGUGGCUGCCAAGGAGCGCUGCCGGUUGGCGGAGGCCGAGCUGGAGACUAUGCGCAAUGAGCGCAUCGUCGAGGCUCGGCAGCACGAGGCGUGGGAGGAGAAGAUGAAGGCUCGAGAAGACGCGGUUGCCCGUCGUGACACUGAGCUGGAGCAAUCGGCACGGGCGCAGGCCGCGGAGUGCGGCCGCCUGGAGAAGCUGAAGGAGAAGGUGGAGGCGGAGAAGGCCCAGCUGGAAGCCAAGGCGAAGGUUCUUGUCGAAGAUCAUGUAGCCUUCAAUUCCCUUGAGCUGCAGUCCCGCAAGGCACUGCAGGAGCUCUAUGGGAGGGGUUUGAAGAAGCCAUUUAUGACUGCUGAGGAAGGCCCCGCCGAGCUACUCCCCCAGCUUGCCACGACACUCGAGGGCGUCGUUAAUGGGGUCGGCCCCAUGGUGGAAGGGGAAGCCCACGCGCUCUCCUCCUCGGCUCUGACGCGCGUCUUCAGCCAGCUUCGUCUUCGCGACCCUGGCAUCGACCUCGGCGCUCUGCUUGAGCCUGUGGACGAGGAGCACUGCGCAGCCGCCGCCGAAGCCGUGAAGGACCGGGUGGACGCCCUACUGGAGAAGUUCCUCGCCAUCGACCCCGCGCCUCCGUCUGAUGGUGCCGCUGAUGCUACGGCCACAGCCGACGGCACGGGCAACGGCGACGUUGCCGACGAAGGAGUACCCCUUGCAGGCGACGGCAGCGCCCAAGGCUGAUGAGAAGGCUCGCUGGCGGCGCUUCCCUCUGCUUUUAUUUCCUGCCACAUGCAUUGUGCCUCGUGGAGGCGUUAAAACUUAUGCUUGGUAUUCGGAGAAACAAUAUGUCUUAUAAUAAUUUGUUAGGAUUCUGCGAUUUCCUUCCCGUUGCCUUAGUGUUCUGCAUCGGCAGGGCCCGGCCCCGCGCAUGCCUCAGCCACCGCCAGGACGAGACCAAGGGGUGAGGGGCUACGUGACCAGUUAGGCUCCUAAGGCGCGAUGCUCAGGAGUCCCCCUUGACGUACAAAUAGCCUUCGGGAAGGAGAUGCGAGAGUAGGCCUUAGCGUUCUGCGUCGGCAGGGCCCGGCCCCGUGUAUGCCUUAGCCGUCGUUGGGUCGUUCGGAUCGCCAGGACAAGACCAAGGGGUGAGGGGCUACGUGGCCAGUUAGGCCCUUGGGUCACACGAUGCCCAAGGGUCCCCCUUGACGUACGAAUAGACCCCAUACCUGUCCUCGCUGGUCUCUCGCGCGGGAGGGUUGCGCGAAGGCCAAGUCCGAAGGACAUGGCGAGGUGGCGUACGCCAGGCGUGACCUGAGCGUAGCCCCCGUGCCCAGCCCCCUUGCGCUACUCUCCCGAGGGGAAAGCAGCGCGGUGAGGCUAGUCACCGAGCCUGGUGGCUCCCUGAGGUUAUUGCAGCCGUGAGGCCACCCUCAGUUGUUGAUCACCAGCGCGUAGCAUGGCGCUACCGUUUUUGCACGGGCAUAGCCGCUCCUCGGUCGUGUCGACUGCCAGCGCGGAGCAUGGUGUUUCCACUGGUACGUGGGAGGGGGCUCCCUCUGAGGAGAGCCCCCGGGGCGUGUACAGCCCCGCCCUGACACAUGGCUUGUGAUAGGUCUCCGUCGUAUCUAUAAUUUUUUAUUGUUCCAUGCCAAUAUUAUACAACUUCCAUAUACUUUUUGGCAACUUUUUAUACUAUUUUUGGGACUAACAUAUUGAUCCAAUGCCCAGUGCCAGUUCCUGUUUGUUGCAUGUUUUUGUUUCGCAGAAUAUCCAUAUCAAACGGAGUCCAAACGGGAUAAAAACAGACGGAGAUUAUUUUUGGAAUAUUCGGAGAAUAUGGGAAGGAAAAUCCACGCAAGACGGUGCUCGAGGGAGGCACGACGCAGGGGGGCGCGCCCCACCCCCCUGGGCGUGCCCCUGACCCUCGUGGGCCCCCCGUAAGGCGGUUGAUGCCCUUCUUCGGCCGCAAGAAAGCUAAUUUUGGGGGAAAAAUCACGGCGAUGGUUUCAGUCCAAUCGGAGUUACGGAUCUCCAUAUAUAUACGAAACGGUGAAAGGGCAGCAGACCAGAGCGCAGAAACAGAGAGAGACAGAGAGACAGAUCCAAUCUCGGAGGGGCUCUCACCCCUCCCAUGCCAUGGAGGCCAAGGACCAGAGGGGAAACCCUUCUCCCAUCUAGGGAGGAGGUCAAGGAAGAAGAAGAAGAAGAAGGGGCCCCCUCUCCCCUUCUCUUCCGGUGGCGCCGGAACGCUGCCGUGCCCACCAUCAUCAUCGCCGCAAUCUUCACCAACAACUUCACCGCCAUCAUCACCAACUCUUCCCCCCUCUAUGCAGCGGUGUAACCUCUCUCUUACCCGCUGUAAUCUCUACUUAAACAUGGUGCUCAACGCUAUAUAUUAUUUCCCAAUGAUGUAUGGCUAUCCUAUGAUGUUUGAGUAGAUCCGUUUUGUCCUACGGGUUAUUUGAUGAUCAAGAUUGGUUUGAGUUGCAUGUUUUAUUAUUGGUGCUGUCCUAUGGUGCUCUCCGUGUCGCGCAAGCGUGAGGGAUCCCCGCUGUAGGGUGUUGCAAUACGUUCAUGAUUCGCUUAUAGUGGGUUGCAUGAGUGACUGAAACACAAACCCGAGUAAGGGGGUUGUUGCGUAUGGGAUAAAGAGGACUUGAUGCUUUAAUGCUCUGGUUGGGUUUUACCUUAAUGAUCUUUAAUAGUUGUGGAUGCUUUCUAGAGUUCCAAUCAUAAGUGCAUAUGAUCCAAGUAGAGAAAGUAUGUUAGCUUAUGCCUCUCCCUCAAAUAAAAUUGCAAUAAUGAUUACCGGUCUAGUUAUCGAUUGCCUAGGGACAAAUAACUUUCUCGUAACAAAAAGCUCUUUACUAAAACUAAUUAGUUGUGUCUUUAUCUAAACAGCCCCUACCUUUUAUUUACGCUCUCUUUAUAUUCUUGCAAACCUAUCUAAAAACACCUACAAAGUACUUCUAGUUUCAUACUUGUUCUAGGUAAAGCGAACGUUAAGCGUGCGUAGAGUUGUAUCGGUGGUCGAUAGAACUUGAGGGAAUAUUUGUUCUACCUUUAGCUCCUCGUUGGGUUCGACACUCUUACUUAUCGAAAGAGGCUACAAUUGAUCCCCUAUACUUGUGGGUUAUCAAGACCUUUUUCUGGCACCGUAGCCGGGGAGCAAUAGCGUGGGGUGAAUAUUCUCGUGUGUGCUUGUUUGCUUUAUCUCUAAGUAAUUUUUAUUUGCUGUUCUUAGUUGUUCUCUAUCUUUAGUUAUGGAUAUGGAACAUGAAAUACCAAAAAAAUUAGGUGUACUUGCUACUCUUGGAGAUGGGGAACCUCCUAAAACCCUUGAUGAUCAUUAUGUGAAAAAUAUUUUGUACCACUUUGAUAAUCCUGAGAAAACCUCAUUCAAUUAUGUAAUGGGAGACACGUUGGACCAACGUGAAUACUUUAGGGAUUAUCGCUUGACUCAAAAAGGGAAACUAUUAUGGGAUCAAAUUUAUAUGUUGAAGUGGUAUGCUCGGCAAGUAUGCUUGAGAUAUGAUUAUACUUGUUGCUCUAGGAUGAAGGCUCCACACCUUCCCUUUUCAUGCAAAUUUAAUGAUAAUGAAACCUUGGCUUCUUAUGCUAGAGGUAUAUAUGAUUACUAUGAUGUGGAACAAAUAGAAGAAUUUGUUGCUUUUAAGGGUGCUUAUGAAAUUGAAUUUUUGGUUGAAAAGUACGAAGCUUUUGAUGAUGAUGUUUAUAGGCCUGAAAAUUUUUCUAUAUUGAAAUAUUGUUAUGAGAAUUAUGAAUACAAUUCCGAUAUUGAUGCAUUUAUUGAGAAAGUCUCCACUGUCCAAGAAGAGACUAAUAUUUUGCAUGAGUCUAUGGAAGAAGAAAUUGAAGAAACUGUGAGCUCAUUGGAUGAAAAAGAUGAUGAGGAGAGCGAAGAACAAAAGGAGGAAGAGCGGAUUAGCUACCCGUGCCCACCUUCUAAUGAGAGUAACUCUUCAACUCAUACAUUGUUUAAUUCCCCUUAUUGCACCCACGCAUGAUAGUCCUAUUAUCUUUUUGAAUUCUCCCGACUACACUAUAUCGAAGAAGUUUGCACUUAUUAAGGAUUACAUUGAUGGGUUGCCUUUUACCGUUGCACAUGAUGAUUUUGAUGAAUAUAAUAUACAUGUGCUUGCUGCUCCUACUUGAAAUUAUUAUGAGAGAGGAACUAUAUCUCCACCUCUCUAUGUUUCCAACACGAUAAAAUUGCAAGAAACUGUUUAUACUAUGCAUUGGCCUUUACUAUGUGUGCAUGAAUUGUUCUUUUAUGACAUGCCGAUGGAUAGGAAGAGAGUUAGACUUCGUUGUUGCAUGAUAUAUGUUGCCUUGUGCUCACUACUAAAUGCCAAAUCAUUGCUAAUUAAAAUAGGCUUUGAUAUACCUUGGGAUCCGGGUGGAUUCACUACUUGAGCACUAUAUGCGCAGCUUAAUGCCUUUAAAGAAAGCGCUGCCAGGGAGACAACCCGGAAGUUAUAGAGAGUCAUUUAUUUCUGUUGAGUGCUUUUACAUAGUUUAAAAACAAAAUAAAAUAAAGAGGGGAACCUAAAACUUUUUCAAAAAGAAAACUGAAAGUGAGAAAGACGAGCAUUGUUAAAGUGGGAGCUAGCCUUGAACUUUGUUCAUGCUCACGGAAACUUUGUGAAUCUUGAUUACAGAAACUUUUCACUAAAUAUAAUUAUCCCCUUGUACAAUUCCAUUGUAUUAUAAAAAUAAUGUGCCAAGGUUUGCCUUUAGGAUGUUUACAAUGCUUGUUGGUUUGUACGGUGCAGGACAGAAAUUUUGGCUGUAGUGCUCGAUUUUACAUUUUUUUACUGGAACGUCAAAUGGUUCUGAUUAUUUUUGCACUGUCUUUCUAUACAAAUUGCUUAUUUUUCCUAAUUUUAGCAGAAUUGUUCAAGUAUCAGAAGUAUCGUGAAUGUUCAGAUUAUUACAGACUGUUCUGUUUUAGACAGAUUCUGUUUUUGAUGCAUAGUUUGCUUCUUUUGAUGAAACUAUCGAUUUAUAUCAGUGGAUUAAGCCAUGAAAAAAUUAUAUUUCAGUAGCUACAAUGCCAAAACAAAAUAUGAAUUGGUUUGCAACAGUACUUAGAGUAGUGAUUUGCUUUAUUAUACUAACGGAUCUUACCAAGUUUUCUGUUGAAGUUUUGUGUGGAUGAAGUGUUCGAUGAUCGAGGAGGUCUCGAUGUGAGAAGAAGGAAGAGAGGCAAGAGCUCAAGAUUGGGGAUGCCCAAGGCACCCCAAGUAAAUAUUCAAGGAGACUCAAGCAUCUAAGCUUGGGGAUGCCCCGGAAGGCAUCCCCUCUUUCUUCAACAAGUAUCGGUAUGUUUUCAGAUUCGUUUCGUUCAUGCAAUAUGUGCAAGUCUUGGAGCGUCUUUUGCAUUUAGUUUUCAUUUUUCUUUUAUGCACCAUGCUGGUAUGAGAUAGUCCUUGGUUGAUUUAUAAGAAUGCUCUUUGCACUUCACUUAUAUCUUUUGAGUAUGGCUUUAUAGAAUGCUUCAUGUGCUUCACUUAUAUCAUUUGAAGUUUGGAUUGCCUGUUUCUCUUUACAAAGAAAACCGCCAUUUGUAGAAUGCUCUUUUGCUUCACUUAUAUUUGUUAGAGCGUGGGCAUAUCUUUUUUAGAAAUAAUUAAACUCUCUUGCUUCACUUAUAUCUAUUUAGAGAGAUGGCAGGAACUGGUCAUUCACAUGGUUAGUCAUAAAAUCCUACAUAAAACUUGUAGAUCACUGAAUAUGAUAUGUUUGAUUCCUUGCAAUAGUUUUGCGAUAUAAAGAUGGUGAUAUUAGACUCAUGAUAGUGGGUAGUUGUGGAUUAGUAGAAAUACUUGUGUUGAGGUUUGUGAUUCCCGUAGCAUGCACGUAUGGUGAACCGUUGUGUAACGAAGUCGGAGCAUGAGGUAUUUAUUGAUUGUCUUAUGAGUGGCGGUCGGGGACGAGCGAUGGUCUUUUCCUACCAAUCUAUCCCCCUAGGAGCAUGCGCGUAGUACUUUGUUUUGAUAACUAAUAGAUUUUUGCAAUAAGUAUGUGAGUUCUUUAUGACUAAUGUUGAUUCCAUGGAUUAUACGCACUCUCACCCUUCCACCAUUGCUAGCCUCUCUAGUACCGUGCAACUUUCGCCGGUACCAUAAACCCACCAUAUACCUUCCUCAAAACAGCCACCAUACCUACCUAUCAUGGCAUUUCCAUAGCCAUUCCGAGAUAUAUUGCCAUGCAACUUCCAUCAUCAUCAUAUACAUGACUCGAGCAUUCAUUAUCAUAUUGCUUUGCAUGAUCGUAAGAUAGCUAGCAUGAUAUUUUCAUGGCUUGUCCAUUUUUUGAUAUCAUUGCUACACUAGAUCAUUGCACAUCCCGGUACACCGCCGGAGGCAUUCAUAUAGAGUCAUAUCUUUGUUCUAGUAUCGAGUUGUAAUAUUGAGUUGUAAGUAAAUAAAAAGUGUGAUGAUCAUCAUUAUUAGAGCAUUGCCCCGGUGAGGAAAGGAUGAUGGAAACUAUGAUUCCCCCACAAGUCGGGAUGAGACUCCGGACUUUAAAAAUAAAUAAAAGAGGCCAAAGAAGCCAAAAAGAAGAGGCAAAACAAGCCCACCAAAAAAGGGGAAAAAAUAAAAGAGAAUAAAAAAAUGAGAGAAAAAGAGAGAAGGGACAAUGUUACUAUCCUUUUACCACACUUGUGCUUCAGAGUAGCACCAUGUUCUUCAUAUAGGGAGUCUCUUGAGUUAUCACUUUCAUAUACUAGUGGGAAUUUUCAUUAUAGAACUUGGCUUGUAUAUUCCGAUGAUGGGCUUCCUCAAACGCCCGAGGUCUUCAUGAGCAAGCAAGUUGGAUGCACACCCACUUAGAUUUCAGUCUGAGCUUUCAUACACUUAUAGCUCUUAGUGCAUCCUUUGCAUGGCAAUACCUACUCACAUUGAUAUCUAUUGAUGGGCAUCUCCAUAGCUCGUUAAUACGCCUAGUUGAUGUGAGACUAUCUUCUCCUUUUUGUAUUCUCCACAACCACCAUUCUAUUCCACCUAUAGUGCUAUGUCCAUGGCUCACGCUCAUGUAUUGCGUGAAAGUUGAAAAGGUUUGAGAACAUCAAAAGUAUGAAACAAUUGCUUGGCUUGUCCUCGGGUUUGUGCAUGAUUUGAAUAUUUUAUGUGGUGAAGAUGGAGCAUAGCCAGACUAUAUGAUUUUGUAGGGAUAACUUUUUUUGGGCAUGUUAUUUUGAAAAGACAUGAUUGCUUUAUUAGUAGGCUUGAAGUAUUAUUGUUUUUACAUCAAAUGAUAGACUAUUGCUUUGAAUCACUCGUGUCUUAAUAUUCAUGCCAUGAUUAGAUACAUGAUCAAGAUUAUGCUAGGUAGCAUUCCACAUCAAAAAUUAUCUUUUUUAUCAUUUACCUACUCGAGGACGAGCAGGAAUUAAGCUUGGGGAUGCUGAUACGUCUCCGUCGUAUCUAUAAUUUUUGAUUGUUCCAUGCCAAUAUUAUACAACUUUCAUAUACUUUUUGGCAACUUUUUAUACUAUUUUUGGGACUAACAUAUUGACCAGUGCCCAGUGCCAAUUCCUGUUUGUUGCGUGUUUUUGUUUCACAGAAUAUCCAUAUCAAACGGAGUCCAAACGGGAUAAAAAUGGAUGGAGAUUAUUUUUGGAAUAUUCGGAGAAUAUGGGAAGGAAAAUCCACGCGAGACGGUGCCCGAGGGAGGCACGAGGCAGGGGGCACGCCCCACCCCCCUGGGCGUGCCGAUGACCCUUAUGGGCCCCUCGUAAGGUGGUUGAUGCCCUUCUUUGAGCCGCAAGAAAGCUAAUUUUUGGGGAAAAAUCACGGCGAAGGUUUCAGUCCAAUCGGAGUUACGGAUCUCCAUAUAUAUACGAAACGGUGAAAGGGCAGCAGAAUGGAGGGCAGAAACAGAGAGAGACAGAGAGACAGAUCCAACCUCGGAGGGGCUCUCGCCCCUCCCAUGCCAUGGAGGCCAAGGACCAGAGGGCAAACCCUUCUCCCAUCUAGGGAGGAGGUCAAGGAAGAAGAAGAAGAAGGGGACCCUCUCCCCUUCUCUUCCGGUGGCGCCGGAACGCUGCCGUGGCCACCAUCAUCAUCACCGCAAUCUUCACCAACAACUUCACCACCAUCAUCACCAACUCUCCCCCCUCUAUGCAGCGUUGUAACCUCUCUCUUACCCGCUGUAAUCUCUACUUGAACAUGGUGCUCAACGCUAUAUAUUAUUUCCCAAUGAUGUAUGGCUAUCCUAUGAUGUUUGAGUAGAUCCGUUUUGUCCUAUGGGUUAUUUGAUGAUCAAGAUUGGUUUGAGUUGCAUGUUUUAUUAUUGGUGCUGUCCUAUGCUGCUCUCCGUGUCGCGCAAGCGUGAGUGAUCCCCGCUGUAGGGUGUUGCAAUAGGUUCAUGAUUCGCUUAUAGUGGGUUGCGUGAGUGACUGAAACACAAACCCGAGUAAGGGGGUUGUUGCGUAUGGGAUAAAGAGGACUCGAUGCUUUAAUGCUAUGGUUGGGUUUUACCUUAAUGAUCUUUAGUAGUUGCGGAUGCUUGCUAGAGUUCCAAUCAUAAGUGCAUAUGAUCCAAGUAGAGAAAGUAUGUUAGCUUAUGCCUCUCCCUCAAAUAAAAUUGCAAUAAUGAUUACCGGUCUAGUUAUCGAUUGCCUAGGGACAAAUAACUUUCUCGUAACAAAAAGCUCUUUACUAAAACUAAUUUAGUUGUGUCUUUAUCUAAACAGCCCCUACCUUUUAUUUACGCUCUCUUUAUAUUCUUGCAAACCUAUCUAAAAACACCUACAAAGUACUUCUAGUUUCAUACUUGUUCUAGGUAAAGCGAACGUUAAGCGUGCGUAGAGUUGUAUCGGUGGUCGAUAGAACUUGAGGGAAUAUUUGUUCUACCUUUAGCUCCUCAUUGGGUUCGACACUCUUACUUAUCGAAAGAGGCUACAAUUGAUCCCCUAUACUUGUGGGUUAUCAGCUUGCACGGCAGGGCUAGAGGAGGUGUGUCUGGGCACCCAUGAGCCAGCGCGGGACUCAUGGGGCCCUACCUCAAGGCGGGUUGCGCCUGGUCUUGAUUGAGAGCACUUGUAAUAAUCCUGCGAGAUGGUUAGGCAACGUGCGCCGAGUGAAUCCCUUGAGGCUACCACAUGAGAAGGCCAGACACCAAUGGCCCCAGGAAGUGACGUGAACGGGGCCUGCCCGCCAGACAGAGCUCAUCCGCUGGGUUUAUCGACGUUGCAGGGACGGACCCGAGCACGGACGUUGUGCCUAGUCUUCUCAUGCGGACAUCUUGAAGAAAGACAGCCGGCGCGCGGCUCCCAUAGCGACGAGGCACCGUGUCGUGCGCCCUCACUUAUCCAUCCGCGAUUAGCUCAUCCGAGGGCAAGACACCAAGGACCAUGGGAGGUGACGUACACGGGAGCUGGCCCGUGAGCCAGAGCUCAGCCUCUUGGGUUUAGCAACGCUACAGGGAAGGACCUGAGCACAGACACCGUGCCAGUCCUUAAUCAUGAGGCAGUCGUGGGUGGAUUUGCAAGGGUGUACGACGUUCAUGGCAACGAAGUACCGGACAUGCAGAUGAUAAUCAUAAAGCGACUGAUGGAAAGGGUAACGCUAGUUCAGGUAGAUGCAAGAAUGAUACAUGCCACAGGGAUGGACCCAUGCGGCCUGGGGAUGAUGCAGCCCGAGGGGCGCCCCCAACAAGGUAAAUUAAAGAUGCAAAAAGAUACAUGUCGCAGGGACAGACCCGUGCGACCUGGGAAAAAUGCAGCCCGAGGGGCGCCCCCAACUGAACAAACUGGAAAAUGUCACCUGGCACCGUUGCUGAAGGGAUGUUGGAAGCUGAAGACGCUUGUCGAAGAAGUCGCUCUUCACAAGCCGCCUGGGUCAUGAGCCUCAGGAGCCUCUGGGGGUCCGGGGGGGCUCAUGAAGAACUGUCGCCAUCUCCGUUAAGACCGCCUGGUGCCUGGUCUCCUGAGCUGCCAGGACGCGCCGCGGGUGGCGCUGGAAGGAGACAGCCGUGUUCAGCAGGCUAUAAGGCAUGCGAACGUAGUUGUGAGGGGGGCCCUCACACCGACCAACGCGCGAUGGCUAGAAGCGCUCCUGAGACGCAGCCCUGUUGAGCCCGAGGUAGUCGAUGCAGACGCGCAGCUCGCUGUCCUCGCCUGGACAAGGAGCUGCGCCAGGUGGUAGGCGGCGGUCGCCGCGCAUGGCUCUUGCCUCUUGAAGCUCCUCGGUCGUCUUGGUGAUGAACUCCUGAGCACCAGGCACCUCGUGCCUCGUGCCCUCAUGCGGGAAGCGUGCGAUGAAGCAUGCCCCCAUGUGGUGCCCGAGCGCCUCCCUCGUGACGUUGCCUAGUUCAGAGGCCCUCCAGAGGAGAGCCCCCGAGCCCAGCCUAAGAGGGGCGAUGGGCGCGCCUUCCUAUGCGAGGGAGGGAGGCACCCCAUUCGCGGACACAUGUCUUGAGGUGGUGCGGCUGGAGACUACGACUCCUAAGGCUUUUGGUUGAAAAGCUGCUUCUUCUUCUUGGGGACAGCCUCGGGAGGGUAGACGGCACCUUCGUUGUCCGGGUCCUCGACUUCCGCAGCCUAGUAGGCGCGCUCAAGGGAGCACACGGCGUCCUUCUCCUCGCAGGCGAUCUUGAUGAUGUCACGGCUCCCUGGCAUCUUGAGGACGUUGUAGCCAUGAUGGGUCACCGCCAUGAACUUGGCCAGGGCCGUAUACCAAGGAUGGCAUUGUACGGUAGGCAGAUGUGGGCGACGUCGAAGUCGAUGAGCUCGGUGCGGUAGUUGUCGUGUUGGCCGAAGGUGACAGGGAGGCGGAUCUGCCCUAUCGGGGUGGUGGAGCCGUCAGUCACUCCUGAGAAAGGCUUGGUGGGCUGUAGCUGAUCGUAUGGCACUUGGAGGCGGUCGAACGUCUCGAUGGAAAGGACAUUGAGCCCUGCACCACCAUCGAUGAGUGUCUUGGUGACAAGGACAUUGCUGAUGAUGGGUGAAUAGAGCAUAGGGAGGGCGCCGGCAGUGGUCGCGCACUUGAGCUGGUCGGACGAGCCAAAGGUGAUGGUGCACUUGGACCACCUAAGCGGGCACGUUGCCUCGAGCCUGGGGAGAGCCGCAUUCACCUCACGGGCGAACUGCUUGAAGAUGCACUGAGAGGCUGGGGCCUGAGCAUCACCCAAGAUGCAGGCGAUGGCGCGUGGCUCCUGGAAGCCCCCAACCCCCUCAUCCUGGUCGUCGUUCCUCCUUGGUGGUGGUGGCAGUGGAGGGAGGCCCACCUUGCCCUGAGGACGGUCCUCACGAGGCUGAUCCCUCCGGGCGUCCUCGCGAGGCUGGCCCUACCAGCGAUCCUCAUGAGGCUGGUCGCGCCACUCCUGGCGGGGACCGCGGUCGUCCCAGUGUCCUCCACUUCGUCCUCCUCCAUGGACGUAGCCUCGGUCGUUGCGCUCAGGGCGUCGACUGAAGCGCCCGUCGCGGAUGGCCCUGAGCUCUUGACAGUCGCUGGUGUUGUGGCUGUGCACGUUGUGGAAGGCGCAGAAUGGGCGACUGCCCUUGGAUGACUCCGGGUGGUCGAGGCCGCGCUUCAUCUCUGGCUCAGCCGCAAGCACGGCCGCUCCCUUGCGCUUCACAUCCUUGGCCCUGGCCUUCUUGUCUUCUGGGUCUGCAGCUGGGAGCUCAAGGAGGGAGAGGCGCCCUUCCUCAGCUCUCGCGCACUUGGUCGCCAUGUUGAACAUCUCCAGAGCCGUGCACAGGUCCUCGUGUAUGGCGAGCUCCUCUUUCAUCUUGACAUCAUGGACGCCAUCAGAGAAUGCGGAGAUGAUGGCCUCGUCUGUCACCUUGGGGAUCUUGAGGCGAACGUUGUUGAAGUGCUGGAUGUACUUCUGCAGGGUUUCCCCUGGCUGCUGCUUGAUGCGCCGCAGGUCACCCGCGGCAGGUGGGCAGUCGCGAGUACCCUGGAAGUUGGCGACGAAACGCUCACGCAUCUCGCCCUAGGAGGAGAUCCAUCCCGCGGGCAGGUCGAGGAGCCAUGAGCGCGCGCCGUCCUUGAGAGCCUUGGGAAACCAGUUCGCCAUGACCUUCUCGUCGCCGUUGGCCGCCUCGAUGCUUAGCUCAUAGAGCUGCAGGAACUCAGCAAGGUCGGGGGUGCCGUCGUAGCGCGGAGGCAGGUCGGGCUUGAACUUCCCGCGCUAGACGACGCUGCGCAGCUCGGGAGUAAAGGCACGGCAACCCGUUGUAGUCGCUGGAGCCCGUCGUGGAGGCGGAGCCUGGUCUUGGUACCCACGCGCCGCCACCGCAGGCGGCGCACGGUCUUGACGCGGUGGUGCCGGGAGCACGGGAGCAUCUUCUUGCGGCCACGGAACCUCGGCAGCUUCCUUCUUCACGCGCGGGCAUCCUACGCGGCAGGUCGUGCCGCGGGGCCGCGCGCCUUGGUGCGAGGGCGACGUCUUGACGGGGAGGUGGUGAAGGCGCUCCAUUGGCUACGUCGCCCGCGGCAGGCACCGGGCGAGGCAGCGAGAGAGACGGUGCGGGAGAACCCCCAGUGGCGCUGACGAGCUCGGUGAUGCGGUCCAGCCAGUCCUCGUAGAGGUCGUCGACGGGGCAGUAGCGCAGGAGCUCGCGCGCCAAGAGUAGCGAAGCCUGUGCGUCCGCAGGCCCACGACGAGCGUGGGACGACGAGCCGGCCGGAGUCAGCGACGGGGUGGUGGUACAUCCAUCCCGCCGCAUGGAGGGGUGCAGCGACGAAGCUUGUUGCUCGUGCCCGCCGUGCCAGUGGCAGCGUUGGCUGCGGGUGAUGGAGAGCGACGGGGAGGCCCGCCGACAGGCGCUGUCUGGGCGACGCGGGUGGCGAGAGCGGCUCGGCGCUCAGCGCGGGCUCGGCGAGCAUCAGCCAUGGAAGCAGUGGAGCGGUGCGUCGACUGACGAAGAAGAGGCUUCGGCACACCCCUACCUAGCGCGCCAAAUGUCGGAUUUUGGGUUCCGUAGACCCUUGAGAGGUUUGAACUCUGGGGUGCGCAUGAAUAACACUUUCUCCCCAGCCUGCUCACUCAACGAUUCCACGGCCUAACUCGACGAACCCAAAGAAUAGGUGACACGGGGGUUUAUACUAGUUUGGUCCACCUUGCGGUGUAAUACACUACUCCAGUUUUGUGGUGGAUUGCCUUGAGGGACUGAGGAUGAACUAGUAUAGUGGAUGAACGACCUCAGGAGGUGAGGUGUUCUUGAGCUCGAUGAGCUGGUGAGAUGGCCUUGGUGGAAUGGAUCCAGCCGAAGAUGAGAUGCCCCCUAUGGUGGUGGCUAAGUCCUAUUUAUAGUGGUCUUGGUCCUCUUCCCAAAUGUAGGCGGGAAGGGAUCCCACAACGGCCAAGUUUGAAGGAAGACAACUAGUACAAGCUAUCCUGACAAAAGUAGUCUUCGCCUACCAAAGGCUCUGGUGGUGACGUCGCUAUGGGCUCCGCGAUGACCUCCGUCCUGCCGUCUUGGUGGUCUUGGUCUUGUUGCACCGACAAGGAAACCUUUGCUUGAUUCCUCGGGACUCCGCGUCUGCGCUUGCCUCCUUAGCACCAAAGAGGAAACUGGUACGCUGCACCCGUUGGCGCCUGCCUGGCCUUGGUCGUCAUGGCUCACGUCAUGUGAACCUCGCGAGGUGCGCCUUGCAUAGAUAUCUCUGCUCCUUGGGAGCCAGCCUAGCUAGGCCACUCCCAGGGAGGUCUUGGUGUCGUCCGCCUCGCGAGGCUUGGCCCCUCGCGAGGGUCUUGAGCUGUUGCUACUGAAGCUGGGCCGUACCGGGCCGUUGAUGGAGCCACGCCUUGGGCCGCAGGCAGGCAAGUCUGGGUACCCCCAUUCCCUGGACGCCGACACCAUCCAGGAGCGAGCUAGCUAGCUAGCUCCUCCGUCACCGCGCGCUGCGGCCGGGGCGGACGACGCAGACGGGCGGGCGCGGUGGCCGGGUCGGACANNNNNNNNNNNNNNNNNNNNNNNNNNNNNNNNNNNNNNNNNNNNNNNNNNNNNNNNNNNNNNNNNNNNNNNNNNNNNNNNNNNNNNNNNNNNNNNNNNNNNNNNNNNNNNNNNNNNNNNNNNNNNNNNNNNNNNNNNNNNNNNNNNNNNNNNNNNNNNNNNNNNNNNNNNNNNNNNNNNNNNNNNNNNNNNNNNNNNNNNNNNNNNNNNNNNNNNNNNNNNNNNNNNNNNNNNNNNNNNNNNNNNNNNNNNNNNNNNNNNNNNNNNNNNNNNNNNNNNNNNNNNNNNNNNNNNNNNNNNNNNNNNNNNNNNNNNNNNNNNNNNNNNNNNNNNNNNNNNNNNNNNNNNNNNNNNNNNNNNNNNNNNNNNNNNNNNNNNNNNNNNNNNNNNNNNNNNNNNNNNNNNNNNNNNNNNNNNNNNNNNNNNNNNNNNNNNNNNCGGCCGGGCGGCCGGGCGAGCUUCAUGGUGUUGGCAGGAGCAGAGAUUUCUCAACCGCCCUGGAAAAGUUGCCUUCAAAACUGUAGAUACGAGGGUUUCGGCUUCGUAUUUACGGGGCCCCUUAAAAAAAUUAAGGGUCGGACGAUUUUAAAGGGUCUGUUCGGGCCCGUUUUUUCAACUGGAAUUGUAAAAAAUAGUUAUUUUGCGGGUUUAACCACUUAUGCGGGUCUGCUAGAGAUGCUCUCAGCGAGACAGAAGGAAGUCUCACUUAAGGCGAGAAAUAGUCAUCGCGUCUUAUUCAGGCGCAUCCGGGAGAUCCUCGUCAGUUCAUGAACAACAAGCAAUUGUCUUUUUGAACAUGAAUUAUAGCUUGAUGUAUAGCGGGGAACACUACGGUGCAACACACGUACAUAAUAGGAUUAAGAAAAAAUCCACAUUACUCUCUCUAUAUAUAUAUGUCAGUUUCUUCACGUAUAUCACAGUUAGAUAACCGGAGUGGGGAAGAACAGUGGUGCCGUAUGAUACGGGGCUAUCGCGUGUAUGCACAUAUCUAUACCGACUCUGCCCACAAAUGGAAAUAUAAAAAGUAGCAUUGAUGUGCGCUAGUGGGGAAUCCAGACUCUCUGGGAAGGCCUUAAUCCUGUUGAUUUCGACAUUCUACUUUACGUCCCCUGUUACUAAAUUCUAUUUCAGUAUUUUACCUUUAUGCUCGCAACCCGGUUUUCACCAUUUUACUACUAUGUUGGAUUUCCUACAACUUGCAGGCAUGGCUAUUUAAAAAGUAAAUGUGGAUGUCUGGGUAGUGCACCCACUAGAUUAAUUACACAUGUAAUCCGCCAACACUAAAUGCAAAUUUGCAACACACUUAUCUAUAUAUUAAAUGAGGGCAUAUCUUAGCAUGAUAUGGUCAGUCUUAUUAAUGCUUUAACAAAUAUACCAAUCUUAGAAAAUCAAUUUUAGCAAAAAAAAAGCCCGCGAGCAUUCAAUAUGGUUACCAGAUAUCGCAAGGCCAUCCAUAAGAUUUAAGAUCUUAUCCAACAAACUAAAUCUACAUGUAGAUUUGUUGGAUGGAGAGAUGUGGUAUUUAAGUGUGCUCACCACCAUAGCCCAUAUAAAAAACCAUGUGGUGUAGAAGUCUUGCAUAACCAAAGAUUGAUCAACACACCUGCCUAGUGUUAACAUCUUCCACAAGAAAGAUGGCUAGUUCUAAAGUAAUGUGGGUGUUCUGCCUCCUAGCUUUACUGGCUUUCACUUCUUGUUCUUAUCAUGUACGAGCAGAAGAUCAUGCCACCAAGGAGAAAAAUGAGGUGAUGGAGUAUUGCNNNNNNNNNNNNNNNNNNNNNNNNNNNNNNNNNNNNNNNNNNNNNNNNNNNNNNNNNNNNNNNNNNNNNNNNNNNNNNNNNNNNNNNNNNNNNNNNNNNNNNNNNNNNNNNNNNNNNNNNNNNNNNNNNNNNNNNNNNNNNNNNNNNNNNNNNNNNNNNNNNNNNNNNNNNNNNNNNNNNNNNNNNNNNNNNNNNNNNNNNNNNNNNNNNNNNNNNNNNNNNNNNNNNNNNNNNNNNNNNNNNNNNNNNNNNNNNNNNNNNNNNNNNNNNNNNNNNNNNNNNNNNNNNNNNNNNNNNNNNNNNNNNNNNNNNNNNNNNNNNNNNNNNNNNNNNNNNNNNNNNNNNNNNNNNNNNNNNNNNNNNNNNNNNNNNNNNNNNNNNNNNNNNNNNNNNNNNNNNNNNNNNNNNNNNNNNNNNNNNNNUGUAAUUUCCAAGCUUAUCUUCAUGAGAUUAAUUACUUACGAGGAACACAAUGUCAUAUGUAGGUUUCAUCGUUCCAGAUUAUAGUGCGCCACCACCUCCAGAACACUAAUCGUAAGGCCGGUACGGUCAAAUUAGGAGAGGAGUGUUAUAAUAUGGAGCACUUAGUCUAAGGCAAUCUUAUCGAACAAAGGAAGGGAUGCUAUGAUAUUGAUGCUUUAUCAUAGGACCUCUGCAAUAAUGUAUCUUACUUUUAAUUUUAUGACUAAUAAAAGGACUGCCCGCAUGUUCUCUUUGUGUUUAGCAUGAUAUUUAGUUGUCCAUCGACAUACAUGGCCUCAACCAAUGACUUUCAAUUCUGAUAAAAUAGACUGCUGAAUUAAAUCCAAAGUCUUGUAAACAAACAUAGCUUGUUCUAUUCAUAAUAAUCACUAUAAUAAACACUAAUAAAAA